rnacentral:lncRNA from 1 species
UGAAAGUCUCUAAACUGUCAGAAUAAGUAGUUAAUGGGAUAUGUCCCCAACUAACUCCAACUACUGAAAUAAACUGAAAACUGAAAUAGUAAUGUGAUCAUCAUGUCCUCGAAGGAUGAGGACUCACUGCUAACUCUGAUCGCUGAACUGCGAUGCUACUGGUUCUCUGGAGCUUAUGCUUCUAAACCUAUGGUAUAAGACACAUUAGCAAAAAUACGUCAGUACUUUGAAUGUACUGGUAUGAAAGUGAAGUAGUCUUAAUGCAAUAGGUUUAUAUGCAUGAACAAUACUAACUGACUGACUGACAUGAAUGUGAGAAUACAUGCAUGCAUACGUAACAAUAACUGACAUCGUGAUAGGACUGAAUGCUAAGUUCUGACUACUGAGUUUACUAAUAACAUGGAAUUACUGAUAUCUGAGGGACUAAUACUAUGUUACUAAUACAUGAGUAACUAUUUCUGAUAGUUCUGAUUAUGAAGAACUAGUCUGGUUGACUGUGUUUAACAGUCCUAAAUCUGAAUACUAAUAACAUGAGUUCUAAUAACUGAUAUAACUGAUAACAUGAGUGACUGUAUCUAACAAUCCUGAAUCUGAUGGAACUAGCUGAGUUCCAUACUGUAUCUAAGCAACUGAAUCUGAGAUCAGUCCUAUCUGGCGGGUGAUCUCUAAAUCUGAUGAUACCAUUAUUUAUUGACCAUAGUUGAGAUCAGUCUUGUCUAAUGGGUGAUCCUGUAGUCUUUUUAUAAUGAUAAGGAGUGACUGUAUCUGAUAGUCCUAAAUCUAUACUACUAAGCUGAGUUGACUGUAUCUGACAGUUCUAAAUCUGUAAUUGAAAUUGUGUGAUGUAUUCAUCUAACCAACAUGCCCCAUACUAAGCUAACUGGGGUCUAACCUAUAACCCCAGCUAGAAGGGUUUCAGUACCAUUCCACUAGUAAAGACAACUGCUGUGGAGUCAGUCCUAAUCUAGUGGAUGACCCCUAGGAUCAGUCCUAUACAUUUAAAUGCGCUAAUGGGUGAUCCCUGAGUAUGUCAGUCCUAUCUAACGGGUGACAUCUUAUACCUAUGCUGGCUACAUUGUUUCAAAACUUAGGUAUUGCUUCUAGGGAUCUCAGUCUUACCUAGCGGGUGAGUCCCAAUUCCUAGGAUCGCUCGGUGCUGAAUCCUUACUCCGAUCUGAAAGGCAAUGAACUAAUUAACUAAACUGAGUUGAUCAACUGAACUGAACUGAUACAAGUGGUACUAUCUAGUGGAGCUAAACUGAAUUUACUGAGUUCCAUUGACUGACAGAAUGUACUGAGUUUUGAGGACUGACUGAGAAUACUGAAGUUACUGAGAUUACUGAGCUUCUGAAAUUACUAAGAUUUCUGAGAUUUCCUGAGUCACAUAAUGACUGAUUUCUAUGGAUCAUAGCUUGACUGAGUAGAUCAUGAAAACAUGGCAUGACUCUAGGCACACAGCUAAAUGUUCGGGUGCAAGUCCCCCAGGACUCGAUGAGAAAAAGCUGACGUAGCAUGGCUUACUUAAACACAUAACCAACAACCCAAUUCAUAAUUCAUAUAUUGAAGAACUUCACCUAACAUAUGAUAUGCAUAAGCUUGUACAUACAUGGGGAUUUCAUGAUAUCAUACAGUCGGGCAUUGUUCCUAUAUCUAGGCAUUUAAUCAAACACAUGGUAGGCAUAGCACAUGUAGGCAACAUUAUACAACAAUUAAUCAUCAUGAUUCAUCUAUAAUUUUAUCAUCCUAGGGUUUAUUCAAAGGUUCACAUGAAUAUACAUCUAUACAAAUCAAUUCCACAUAAAAUUGAUCACCCAACAUGGAUUUGAAUUCAAUUGAUCAUUCUCAACAUAAACAAAACUAACCCAACAUGAAAUUCAUAAAGAAAUCCAUAAACUUAAACUUAGAAAAGAGAUUCUUGGUCUUCAUGGAUGAAAGGAGUCCAUGAAUGAACACUACGCAUACCUUAUUUGUGAUUCUACAAAGAUUGACGGAGAGAUUCUUGAAAUUUGACAGUGAAUUCCCUUGGAAUUGAACCUUCUAUGAAAACCCUAAGGCUUGUUCUUAAAAGUUUUUGAGAGUAAUUGAGUAUAAGCUACUGAAUUAUGGCGAAAUCUCAUGUUAUAAGGCUUAUAUAGGGUGGGAAAUUAACCCUUUUAUCCCAAGAACAGGUAUGUAAUUUUUGAAAAAAUUGUCCGAUUUUCAUCCUUGGCGCGACGUGCCACUUUCGCACCAAGUCACCGAAAAGUGACAAAUGGGAAAUUGCAUGAUGGCCCGACGCGGAGAUAUCGCAUUACCACCUUGGCUAUGACCAGGAAGUUUAGCGCGAUGCAUAUUUGAUGCAUGACUAAUAAGAUAAAUUCAUGCAUACCAGAUGCAUGACUGAUAAUUGACUCAUAAAUACAUGACUGAAUAUGCUAAUGAACUAAAUUUCCCAUAGUGAGAAUACAUGUCUGAUUCAUAAUUACAUGACUGAACAGAUAUAUGAAUGCAUGACUGAAUAUGCAAGGGUACUUAGUACCAAGUUUAUAAUGAGGAUCUGAGCAUGAACUAAAUACCAAGUUUGUAAUCAACACUGAACAUGAAACUGAGUAAGACUAAGGAGAAUUUUAUCUUAACUGGAAAUGCUAAUGAAUCUGAGAUCGUCUUACUAAACAUGCAUGAGCAAAACUAUGAGAACCUAACUGAGUAAGUUUAAAAAAACUAUUACUAAAAAAAACUGAUGACCCCAUGAUUAUGCUAGAAGUAUUCAUGAACUGGAACCUGAAAACAUAACUGAGGCUGAAACAUUAUACAAAAAUUAAAUUUCAUGAACUGAACUAAGCCUCUGAAUACUUGUCCCAUAGAUGAGGUUGGGACCUUGAGGGUCAACUUAUGAUUACCCUCUAUUCUAAAUUGGAUGCUUUAUGUGAAGAGAAACUUUAUUUAAGGCAUGAGAACAUUGAGGAAUAAUGGGGUAUCUCCCCUUUGGGGUACUAUCUCCCUCUAAGAAUGCUCACCUUACUGAGAUACUAGGGUGAUGCAUAGGGCCUCCAUAAACUGAUUCAUGACUGAGAGUUUAACUUUGAGCGUAUGCUCACUGGCAUGACAUGAAUACUAAAGGAAUAAAAACUGUUCUUAAAAUAUCUUAUAGCCUCCUGCAUAUAAGUGUGGUGCACAACACACGCAUGAACAAGACUCUACUAGAUGCGGCUUUUCAAAUUUCCUAGGACACUAUUGAACCUUAGUCUCUAAUACCAAGUUUGUAACACCCCGAAUCUGGUACCCAGAAUACUAUACGGUACCCAUAACCUUAAAGGAUCAGAAGCUAACCCAUGACUGAUAUUUGUAAAUUGAGCACUAAAUAAUAGUAAUAAUAUCCUAAAUACAGAAACAUAAACUGAAAGUCCAUAAGGUUCAAUACUACUACAUAAUUGAAAAAUAUGGUAUAACAAUACCAAAAUAACUGAGAUAAUUGUCUAAACAUACUGUAGUCUGAAAGCCUCUAAACUGUCUGAAAAAUAAAUUGAUGGGACAUGUCCCCAACAAACUCCAAUUACUAAAAUAAACUAAAAAUUGAAAUAGUAAUGUGAUCAUCAUGUCCUUGAAAGAUCAGCACUCACUGCUAACUCUGAUCGCUAAAUUGGGAUGCUACUGGUUCUCUGGAGCUCGUUCUUCUAAACCUAUGGUAUCAGACUCUAUAGCACAAAUGUGUCAGUACUUUGAAUGUACUAAUAUUCAAGUGAGGUAGGCUUAAUACAAUAGGUUCAUAUGCAUGAACAAUACUAACUAACUAACCAAUAUGAACGUGAGAAUACAUACAUGCAUAUGUAACUAUAACUAACAUCGUGAUAGGAUUGAAUGCUAAGUUCUGACUACUGAGUUUACUAAUAACAUGGAAUUACUGAUAUCUGAGAAACUCAUACUAUGUCACUAAUACAUAAAUAACUAUAUCUGACAGUUCUGAUUAUAAAGAAUUGGUCUGGUUAACUAUGUCUAAUAGUCCUAAAGUUGAAUACUAAUAACAUGAGUUCUAAUAACUAAUAUAACUGAUAACAUGAGUGACUGUAUCUGACAGUCCUGAAUCUGAUGGAACUAGUUGAGUUCCAUAUUAUAUCUGAGUAAUUGAAUUUGAGAUCAGUACUAUCUGGUGAGUGAUCUCUAAAUCUGAUGAUACCGUUACUGCUUAACCAUAAUUGAAAUUAGUCCUGUCUAAUGGGUAAUCCCAAAGUCUAUAAGGAGUGACUGUAUCUAACAGUCCUAAAUCUAUACUACUGAGCUGAAUUAACUGUAUCUGACAGUCCGGAUACUAUAACUGAAACUAUAGGAUGCAUUCAUCUAACUGACAUUCCCCAUAAUAAGCUAACUGGGGUCCAACUAGUAACCCCAGCUGGAAGGGUGUCAGUACCGCACCACUAGUAAAGACAACUGCUGUGGAGUCAGUCCUAAUCUAGCAGGUGACCCCUGGGAUAAUUCCUAUACAUUCAAAUAUGCUAACGGGUGAUCCCUGAGUAUAUCAGUCCUAUCUAAUGGGUGACAUCUCGUACCUACGGUAGCUACGUAGUUCUGGAACUUAGGGAUUACUUCUAGGGAUCUCAGUCCUAUUUAGCGGGUGAGUCCCCAUCCCUAGGCUUACUCGGUAUUAAAUCCUACUCCCAUCUGAAAGACACUGAAUUGAUUAACUGAACUGAGCUGAUUAACUGACCUAAACUGAAACUAGUGGUACUAUUUAGCGGAGCUAAACGGAAUUUACUGAUUUUUGUUGACUGACGGAAUGUACUGAGUUCUGAGGACUGAUUGAGAAUACUAAAGUUACUGAGAUUACUGAGCUACUGAAAUUAUUGAGAUUUCCUUAGUCACAUGACUGACUGAGUUCUAUGGAUCAUAGCUUGACUGAGGAGAUCGUGAAAACAUGAUAUGGCUCUAGGCACAUAGCUAAAUGGUCGGGUACAAGUACCCUCAAGACUCGAUGAUAAGAAACUGACUUAGCAUGGCUUACUUAAACACAUGAGCAACAACAUAAUUCACAAUUCAUUUAUUAAAGCACUUCACCAAACAUGUGAUAUGUAUAAGCUUGUACAUACAUGGGGAUUUCAUGAUAUCAUACUAGUUGGGCAUUGUUCCUAUAUCUAGGCAUUUAAUCAAACACAUGGUAGGCAUAGCACUGUAGACAACAUUAUAAAAUAAUUAAUCAUCAUGAUUCAUCUUUAAUUUCAUCAUCCUAGGGUUUAUUCAUAGGUUCACAUGAAUAUACAUCUAUACAAAUCAAUUCCACAUAAAAUUGAUAAUCCAACAUGGAUUUGAAUUCAAUUAAUCAUUCUCAACACAAACAAAACUAACCCAACAUGAAAUUCAUAAAGAAAUCCAUAAACUUAAACUUAGAAAAGAGAUUCUUGGGCUUCAUGGACGAAAGGAUUCCAAGAAUGAACACUACGCAUACCUUAGCUUAUGAUUAUACAAAGAUUGACGGAGAGAUUCUUGAAAUUUGAUGGUGAAUUCCCUUCGAAUUGAACCUUCUAUGAAAACCCUAUGACAUGUUCUUGAGAGUGUUUGAGAGUAAUUGAGUAUAAGCUGAUGAAUUAUGGCUAAAUAUCGUGUUAUAAGGAUUAUAUAGGGUGGGAAAUUAACCUUUUUAACCCUAGGACACGUAUUUAUUUUGUGAGAAAAUUUCUCAAUUUUCAUCCUUGGCGUGACGCGCCACUAUCGCGCCAAGUCACUAUAAUGUGACAAAUGAGAAAUUGCACGAUACGGAGUUAUCGCAUUGCCACGUUGUCUAUGACAUGGAAGUUUGGCGCGAUGUGCAACUAUUGCGGAGAAACACUAGAAAUUGACAAUUGCCAUUUGAGCUAUCUCCACGAUGCACUGAAGGCUCAGGUGAUGCACUGUCUCACUAAAAAGGCUCUAACUCUUCACUUGGGUGUCGGAUUUGGGCGAAUUUGGUAUAGAUGGAAAUUUUAUUUGAUUCCCAACGUGAUAAAAAGGUGAAAAUCUUGAAAAUACCACAUUAUCAAAAGUAGAUUCAUCUUUCAAAGAAAGCUUCUAACAUUCUUGGUGAAACUUUUCAAGCUAGGAAAAGUACGGGGUAUUACAUAUUAGCACAUCAAUGGUGAUAACCCGUACUAUGAUCUGUAUGCUGAAGAAGUAUAGUAUGAGUACCAAACGAAUGGUACUUAGUACGCAAUUGCAAACUGAGCUCUAAAAAUAAAGCAGAUAUAUACAAUAUAUAAAUAAUGGAAACUAUAUCUAAGAGUCUAUAAAUCAUAUAACAACCAAUGAUAUAAUAAGGAACAACUAUCCUAUUCAUGUCCAAUAAACCCACAUAAUAAGGCUAAGUAAGUAAUAAGGGUGCACUAUCUUAUUCCAUCCAUACUUAGGAAUCUAAACACUAUACCAUAUAUCCCUGGCCAAUAUAUGAAUAAAGUGCAAAAGAAGUAUAUAUAAUAAUAUAGGUCGAGGAACAAAUAUACCAUAUGAAAAAAUGAAGGAAGGGACAUACGGUAGUAACAUAACUACAUAUAGGUAUAUAUAUAUACAUAUAAACAUGAGGUUGCCUCAAAGUAUAACCUAGAUCAUCAUACCUCAUUCUAAGACCUCAUUAUAAUCCUACCAGGAUUCAAUUCUAUCAUACUUAGGGCUUCUAAUCCACAUGGCUAGACAUGAAAUAAUCAUGUAUAACAAUGCAAUCAUAAGAUAGAAGAGGCCAAAAACAUACCUCAAAUAUCAAUACCAGAUCAAUGACCAAUCUGUCAUAAGCUAGCCAUAUUAAUGAUCAUAACAAUGAUAAUAACAAUAUCAAUAACAGCGUGAAUAAUUAGAAACUCCUAACAACCAAGUACCUAUCUUAGCCUAUGUGUACCCCCACUACCCCAGGCUCAGAAGUUUUAAUCAACAUACAAAAACACAAGUCUUAUUCAUCACCCAUAUCUAUGCAACUGUCCCAUACCGGCUGAUAGACAUAGGCGCAUAAUAGUGAUAGGCGAUACAUAUGCAAGAAUGAAUAAAAGGUACAUAAUCAAUAUCACUAUCAUUCUCCAGACUCAAACCGAGUAUAUAUAUAUCAUCAUUAUAACAUCCUUCGGCCUUACCAGGUAUUAAUUUAAUUAUCACAGUAUCCUCCGACUUGAUGGGUAUCAAUAACAUCAUAACAAUAUCCUCCAGCCUUGUCGGGUAUUAAUAUAUCAUCACAGUAGUAUCCUCCGGCCUUAUUGGGAUCAAUAACAUUAUAACAUUAUCUUCUGCCCUUUCUAGGUAUUAAUAUACCAUUACAGUAGUAUCCUCCAUCCUUUUUGGGUAUUAAUAUAUCAUCACAACCAUUAAUACAUAUAUAUAUAUGAAUAUAUAUAUAUAAAGAUGUAAUAGGUGCACAAAUCAAAGUCGUGGCUAAAAAGAGUGUAAAUUUGUAAGUCUAUUGCUCGGAGUGAUCUUUGGUACUAAAUUAUUAUGAAAAUAUAGAAAGGGUUGGAAGAUCCCACGACCAGAGCAAAUAAUAGUAUCAAGUCAUGGACCAAAAUCUGGCUAGCCUAAAUCUUUAAAACAUCAUUAUUAACCUCUUUCAUAUAUUUAAGUUAUCCAUUAAGUCAAGAAAUUAUUAUUGUGAACAAAUCCAUUUUUAAAGGUAAACAGUGGGUUUCAAACCUUUUUAGGAAGAAUAGUCAUAAAAUCAGCUUGAAUCAUACUAAUUACCAAUAUAAUAAUAAUGAAUGUACCAAAUUUAUACAUGCCAUCACCAAUAUCUAAAUAAAUAAAGUCGUAAAUAACCUACCAUAUCUUCCUUCAUCUUAUAUCGGAGAGAUGUGUAUAUAAACAUAUAUAUGUAUAUUCAUAAACUAGCUACAACUAUAUCCUUUACAAGGAUAAUUACUUCUCGAAUGUGCAUUCGUAACAUAACACGGCCCUUGGCUCAAUAAUAUAUCUAGAAUAAUCACAACAUCAUAAUCACGGCCUUAGGCCCAUAUACAUAUUCAGAACUCAUAUCAAAAAUCAUAUUUAUAAGCCGUAGCAUAUCUAUAAUCAUCUCACAUAUAGAAGGCAUAUCACAUCUAGGGGGCAUAAUAUCAAUAACCAUAUCAGAUCUAUAAGACAUCUCAUAUCUAUAAGACAUGCAUCAUGACUAUGAAGAAUAUCACCUCUCUAGGCCAAUUAUCAUAUCUACGAGGAAUAUCAUCUCUCUAGGAACAAUAAUCAUAACUAAGAGGAAAAUCAUCUCUAUUAGCCCAACAAUCAUAACUAAGAGGAAUAUCAUCUCUAUACGCCCAACAAUCAUAACUAAGAGGAAUAUCAUCUCUAUAGGCUAAUAAUCAUAUCUAAGAGAAAAGUCAUCUCUAUAGGCUGAAUAAUCAUAACUAUGAGGAAAAUCAUCUUUAUAAGCUCAACAAUCAUAACUAAGAGGAAUAUUAUCUCUAUGGGCCCACCAAUAAUAACUAAGAGGAAUAUCAUAUCUAUAGGUCCAACAAUCAUAACUAAGAUAAAAGUCAUCUCUAUAGGUCCAACAAUAAUAACUAAGAAGAAUAUCAUCUCUAUAGGCCCAAUAAUCAUAACUAAGAGGAAUAUCAUCUCUAUAGGCCCAAAUAAUCAUAAAUAAGAGAAAUAUCAUCUCUAUAUGCGCAAUAAUCAUAACUAAGAGGAAAGUCAUAUCAAAGGGUCCGACGUCAUGUAUAAGAGAAAAUAGUAACCCUAUGGUCCAAGCAUCAAGUCUAGGAGGAAAUAGCAUCUCUAUGGGCCAAAUAUCAUUCUAAGAGAAAACGUCUCUAAAGGUCUAAUAUAACGUCUAAGAGGGAAUAGUAUCUCUAAAGGCCCAUUAUCAUUUCUAUAAGGAAUAACAUAGCCAUAACUCAUAUGUCACAAUCUGAGGAACAUCAUUACAAUUUACAAAGUCAAAAAGUAACAUUAUACUAAGGUUUACUAGUCUCAACUAUGCCUAACAUCCGCAACUAGGUCCAUAAGGAUAACACAAGUCGUGGCUUAAGUGGGUCAGACAAUCCCACUUCUAAUCCUCAAUUUCCCUAUUUAGGAAAACUAUACCCUAACUAAGAUAAGGUAUCUAGUUAAGAUUCUAGAUGUCAAGUAAGCCAUAACUAAUUCUAAGAGAGGAACUUUGUCAAAAAAACAUGGGCAUUUAUGUCAAUUCUACCCAAAUUAUGAUUUUAAGAUCACUAGAAUAGCCCAACUAAGAUUAAUCAUACUAACCAUGAUUCCAACACUUAAACCACAUCCCAAACCUAACAUCAUCCCAUAUUCAUCUUCAUUUUAUGAAUUAACCCAAACUAGGGAGAAGGUUAUUGGGUCUAAAAAGGGUAUUAAACAAUUCAACUUACAGGUUAAAACUCCCAUCAAAUCCUUAAACUUUAAUAUUCAAUACUAAGUUAUUCUAUCCUUAAUCAAUUUAACAUUCACAUUCACACGCAAUAUAUAUCACACAUUAUUUAUAAAGAAGAGUAGAUAGAAGGACUACCUCAAAGCAGACCAUAAAACCUCCCACCAUUCACCAAAAGCUCAUCUUCAUCCCACAAGCAUAAAAUGACAAUACACUAUCAAAAUAGUAAUCUACUCAUUAAUACGAGUCUAACGAUAUCCAUAUUGUAUUAUUGUGGUUUGUGUCCAAAAACGACAUCAAAAACUCCAGCGAGUCCUACGUAUCAAAAAAUGCAUUUCUGAGGUUAACCCAAUAUGAUAUCAAUCUCAUAAAUUAUCAAGGAAUCAUAACCCUCAAUAAAUACAUGAAAACAAAGCUAAGUUUGGCUUAAAAUCAAGCCCUAGGAUAAUUUGGGGUUUUGGGUGAAAAUCCAAGAAGUUCCAAAACAAAGUGAUGAAAUCUUACCAUAAUCCAUAUGAAAAUCAUGAAAAUAGAUGUUUACUAAGCUUCCAAGUCACCCACAAUGAUCAAUUUUGAGUUAUUACAUAUAUUUAGGGGUUCUAGGUAUCAAAGAUUGGUCAAAAUGGCCAAAACGCGACCUAUAUGGUCGUUAUAUACCUAUACCAGGUAUGGAGAUACCUCUAUCACAGUCCUAGGGGCCACUAAUGCACUAGCGUGGUCUCCAUAUAAUUUGUCGCGAUCGCAGUUGCUUCCUGGGGUGCUAAAUGACAACAAAAUCAAAAUCAUGAUUUUGGCUCUCGAAACUCAUUUGAAAUCCAAAGAACAAGAUACAAUAGUGAAAUUUGAGUGUAAACCAUAUUUAAUAUCCAUUGGAAGAAUCAAAAUUUUCAUCUAAGGACGUUUAGGAAAAAAUUAAGGCCCACAACUAAAGUUUUAUUUUUUUAAUAAAAUUCGCUCAAUAGCCUAAAAUAAGUCCGGGAGCCUUGGGACCUGAACCCAGGGUCCCCGUUGCCUAAAAUUGAUAUUUUGGACACCAUGGACUAGUCAUAUUUCAAUCUGGGGUCAUUUUUACCAAAUAUGGGUCCCACACCCGUAUUUUGAUUUUUAAACUUUUCGACCAAUUGAUCAAACUGAACUAGGGUGCAUUGGGACCCAAACCAAAGGUCUAUCCAACCUAAAAUAGAUAUUUCAAAUCUAUUGGUGCAUUCAAAAUUUGCAUCUGAGAUCAUUUUAUUGAAGUUUUCACCGGGUGGCCAUUUGGAACCAACAAAAACUUCAAAAUAAGGAAUUGGCUCUAAAAACCAAAUAAACUAUCCGAUAACCAAACCGUUGGUCCCAAAAAGUUAUAAAUGACAUAUGGAAGCUAUGGAGAAUCUCAAAUGGUGAAGAUAAGAAAAAAUAUAAAAAUUUAUUGUAAAGGUCAUUACAUAGCUUAUGUUUCAAUUAAGAUAUGCAUGACCUUGUAUUCAGUUGUUGAGUUGUAUCCAGUACAUAUUUAUACUUGAUCUUGCAUUAAGCUUAUCAUAUUUAUGUAUUCAUGUUUUGUUCAUACUAUUAGCUUUCCCAUCUCACAUAAUUAGUACAUUUAAAGUACUGAUUGGAUACUUUGAUUUGCUAUAUUGUCUCAUAAUAUAUGUUCGGAUGCUUAGUACCCACACUGCACUUAACCUAUUUCCAUAACACUCAGUAGGAGUCAUUGGUAAGUCAUCAUCAUGCAAUUUAUAGUUAUCAAAUAUUUUUUUUAAAGUCUGGUUUCAGUUUUAGUCAGUUGGAGUUAAUUGGAUGUAUGUUCCAACAACUCAUUAUGAUUUAGAGUCUUUCAGACAAAUGUUUAAAUUUUUGGCAUGAUUGGUUGUCAUACAGUUCUAUUUAAAGUUUUGGUUGAUAUUUAUUUGUAUAUUUUUAUGAUUUUUCAUCAGUUAUUUCACUUAAAUUCUGCCCACUAUUUUUUUAAUUUCUUAAGUAUCCAAAUGUAUGCAAGACCACGGGUUAGCUUGGGGUCACUUAUAACCUUAGACACCAUAUUAUUACUAGGGGUAUUCUCGGGUCAUGAAAAACUUAGUAUCAGAGCAACAGGUUUAAAGUGUCCUAGGGUGUUUGAAAAGUCGCAUUAAGUAAAAUCUUGUUCAUGGGUGUGAAGCACGCCAUAUUAUAAAAAAGAGGCUGCAAAAUAUUUUAUGAAAGUGUUACCUCUUUCAUGAUUCAUGCCAUGUGAUAAAGUCUAAACUCUAUUAAGAAUCCUUCUUGUAACUCGUCCUCUAUCUGUUUAUAGAUAAUGCCUCCUAAAAGAACCAAUGGAAGAAGAAAUGGGAAGCAACAAGCACCGCCACAAGUUCUCAAAGACCUUCUGAAUGAGCAGGUCUCUCAUGCUAAGUUCAGGCUGGUUUUAUGACAUUAGCCCAAUCUAUGACUAUUUAGAAUAAUCAGAAGGUUAUUACCCUAACCAACCCAGUAGUGAAUGCGGCAAUGACUAGAAUUCAGGAGUUCACUUAGAUGAAUCCGUCAGCAUUCUUUAGGUCUAAAUUUAAAGAGGAUCCACAUGAGUUCUUAGAAAGUGUUUAGAAAGUGAUUGAGAUCAUGGGUGUCACUUUAAGUGAGAGUGCUGAUCUGGUUGCCUACUAAUUGCAAGAAGUGGCUUACACCUAGUAGAAGCAGUGGAAGGAAGAUAGAGGUGAAGAUGUAGGUCCAGUAAAGUGGGAUGAGUUUGUAACUAAAUUUCUAGAUAGGUUCUUCCCACUUGAGCUGAGGUAAGAUACAUUAUAGGAGUUCAUCUAGUUAAAGUAGAACAGUAUGAGAAUUAAGGAGUAUUCACUAAAACUUACUCAGUUGAGAAGGUAUGCUCCUACUAUGAUGGCUGAUUCUAAGGCUCGAAUGAGUAAGUUUGUGUCUAGUGUUUCUAAGGAGGUGGUAAAAUAUUGUAGUAUGUAUAAGUUGGUCAAGGAGAUAGACCUUUCCAAAUUAAUGGUCCAUGCUCAUCAAAUUAAGCAGGAGAAUAUCAAAGAGAAUAAAAGAGAUAAUAAGAGGUGCAAAAUUGGUAGCUUCAAUUUCUCUCUACAGAGAUCAGAUGGUGAAAACGCUCUCCGUUCCACCAUAAACCUCUAUCUCAAUCCCUAUUUUUUGCUAGUUCUAUAGUGCCUAUGUUUAAACAAGACACUCGAGAUAGAGCGUUGGUCUCUAAGUCCUAGGGUAGUGUGAAUAGUGCUCGCACCAACCUAGUUUUCAAGAGAUAUGAUAGGAACCAUAGGGGUGAGUGCUGGCUAGUAGUAAUGCCUAUUUAGGGUGUAUCAAGUUAGGCCACAGAAUAAGGGAUUUCCUAGGGGUUGCACAGAGAGGUAGGAAUAAUCGUCAGUAGGGUCAAACUAACUCUUCAGCAUUUCUAAUAGGUCUCCCAACUCUACAGGGUGCCAUUUCUAGUACAACUGGUGGACAGUGUUAGGGUAGGAUCUAUGACCUUCAGACUUGACGGGAUUAGAAGGGUUCUCUUGUUGUGGUUACUGGUAUGUUACACGUAUUUAACAUUCAUGUUUGUGCAUUAUUAGAUCUAGAAGCCACACUUUCCUUCUUGACUCUUUAUAUAGCAGUAGAUUUUGGUGUCAUCCAUAAAAUCCUAGAAGAACCCUUCUUAGUUUCUACUCUAGUAAGUAUUUCAGUUAUAGCUAGAUGAGUAUACAAAAUUUGCCCAAUCACUGAAUCCUAGAAGGUUAUAUCAAUUGAUCUUGUAGAGUUAGACAUGACUGAUUUUGAUGUCAUUCUUGGCAUGGAUUGGCUUAAAUCUUUAUAAGCCUUAGUUGACUAUAGAAAUAGAGUAUUCUGGUUUUAUUUUCAAAUAAGCCAGUCUCAGAGUUGAAGGGUAGUAACUCAGUGCCUAUAGGUCUAUUUGUCUCCUCUCUCAAAGUGAGGAAAAUGAUCUCCAAAGUCUAUAUCUAUAAUCUCGUUAGAGUCAAGGACUCAAGGUAUGAAAUCUCGAGUCUUGAGUCAAUUCCAGUCAUAAAUAAAUUCCCAAAAGUAUUUCCUGAAGAUCUACCCAUAGUUUUACCCAAGAGGGAAAUUGGCUUGGAAAAGAUCUCCUUCAAGAUACCUAGCCUAUUCUAAUUCCACUUUACAGAAUGUCUCCAUCCGAGCUUAAGAAAUUGAAAGAAUAGCUAAAACAUAUCUUAGACAAAAGGUUUCAUUAGGAUGAGUGUCUCUCUAUUUGGUGCUCCAAUUUUUUUCGUGCACAAAAAAUACAGUCCUCUCAGAAUUUGCAUUGACUAUCGUCAGUUGAACAAAGUCACAAUCAAGAAUAUGUAUCCAUUCCCAGUAUUGAUAACUUGUCCAACCAACUUCAAGGUGAAAAUUAUUUCUAUAAAAUAGACCUGCAUCUAUCUAUCAUCACCUCAAAUUCAGAAAUUGUGACAUUCCAAAAACAACCUUUAAAACUCGGUAUGGUCACUUUGAAUUUAUAGUUAUGUCUUUUGGACUAACAAAUAAUCCUAAAACUUUAAUGUACUUGAUGAAUAGAGUCUUCAUACAGUACUUAAGUGUGUUCAUUAUAGUAUUUAUAGAUGACAUCCUCAUUUAUUCUCAAAGUAAAAGUGAAAGAUACAACUCAGAAUAAGAAGGUAAAGGUUUUCUCCAAAGGGGGAGAUGGUGUUCUUUACAAUCAGGGUAGAUUAUGUGUUCCAUAUGUGAAUGGUUUAAGGUAGUGGAUGUUAGAAAAAUCUCAUGGUUCCUGAUAUUCUAUUCACCCUGGAGCCACUAAGAAGUACUAUGAUUUACGGGAAUUUUAUUGGUGGAAUAGCAUGAAAAUGGAUAUUAUAAAACUUGUGGCUAAGUGUAAAAAAUGCCUGUGGUUAAGGUUGAGCACCAAGGAGUAGGAAGCUUCAACAAUUCAGUAUUCCUACUUAGAAGUGGGAAGUGGUGAAUAUAGACAUUAUUAUCGAGUUACCUCGUACUCGUCAACAACAUAAAUCUAUUUGGGUUUCAUAGACUGAAUGACUAAAUUGGCUUAUUUCUUUCCAAUUAAUACUUUAGAUUUAUCCAAAGAUUAUGCUAUACUUUAUCUUAGGGAGUUUGUGAAGUUGUAUAGGGUCCCUUUGUCUAUUAACUCAGAUAGAAGUACCUAGUUCACCUUUUAAUUUUGGAAGGAUUUUCAAAAAGGUCUUGGUACCCAAGUUCAUCUCAGUACAAAUUUUCACCCACAGAUGGAUGGUCAGGUAGAGAGGACCAUGUAGACCUUAGAAUAUAUACUGAGGGUGUAUGUGAUUGAUUUCAAGGGAAGUUGGGAUGAUCAUCUUCCUUUGAUCAAUUUUCUUAUAAUAAUAAUUAUCACUCCAGUAUUUAGAUGGCCGCGUAACUAAUAUUAACAAAAAUAUAUGAAGCACAAGAUGAGAUGAACAUACAAUGUGAGGAACAACAACAAGAAUAACGGCUUACAAUAAAAAAGACCAAAUCGUGACAAGAUUACAAGAAUGUAAAUGAUAGAAAGAUAUACAUACACUACUACAAAGUGUAAGAGCCAAAUGUGUUCUCAAACACAAAGACCCUUAACAAUUUAAGUAGAAACACCUACACUCUUCAAAGAACACAAGAGGGAACUCCAUCCUUCAAACAUCCAAGGUUCCAACCAAACAAACAACAAGGGUGAAUUCACACUCUAAUUGUUACCUAGUUUCGGCCAAGCCCCUUUUGGGAGAGAACUUGUGUCUUUCAAGAGUGAGAUACAAUAUUCAAUUUUUAAAAACUAAAAAAUAAAAACCUAGAAUAUUCCUUUUAUAGUGUAUUACAUAAUAGGAGUCAAAAAGACAAAAAGACCCCUCAAUAUGGGGCGCCCCUCUAGUGCAUGUAUUGGGCUGAUUUGGUGUGUAUUUAGGUCUUAUUUGCACUUUAUUUUGUACACACCAAGCCUCGGUCCCAACACACACUCUCUUAAAUCCGUCUAAAUGAUCGCACUUGUAUCAACCUAUCUUGAAGCAUUGUAUCCCCAUUCGAUGUAGGAAUUGGCCAUACUAACACAACUCCUGCUUAGUGACUUGGUUGUUUGGGGAUAGCUUGAGUUAGACUGAAGUGGUGAGCUUCCAUUCUUUGGAAGGCCCAUUUCUUAUUAUGGUUUAUCUUAUUUCUUUAUGAUUCCUUUGACAUUAGUUUUAGCUUUAGUCAGGGGCAUGUCCCAACUAGAUAUUAUUUGACAUUAUUUAGAGACUUUGUAUGGACAAUUGUGGACUUUGGUAUAUUAUGAUUAAUUUGGUUUGGUUUGGACAGUAUGAAUUGAUUGUGUUGGUCUCGAUUUUAGAAUUAUCCCAAAAUCACUGAAUUCAAAAUACUUUAUCUUAUUAUAUGUUCAAAAUUCAUUCAACAUGAGUUUUAUAUUGGUUGGAUGGGGUAUAAGGGGUGGUCUCCAGUCCUUGUUGGACUUGUGAGGCCCAACAUGACUAAGACGUUGUUUGGGUCAUGUCAAAUUGGUAUCAGAGCCUAGGUUUUGGUGUCAUGAGGUGUCCACAAAGUCUUGUUGAGUAGAGUCUCUUUUAUGAAUGUGUAGUGCACCACACUUAUAAAGGAGCGUAUGAUACAUUUAGGAAUGUUUAACUUUCUUGUUGCUUUAUUUUUAAGCUAUAAAGUCCAAGGUCUUAAACUCUCCCGUAAAUCUUCUUUUGUUCGCCUUUCAGAUUAUGCCCUUCCGAUGAUCUUAGCUUGUGGAAGCUCAUCCAUCCUAAUCGAGGAUGACACAGACAAAUCUCAUCCAAUUCAUGGGGUACAGACCCAGCCAAAGGCAGUACGCAGUCUCUUAUUACCUUUCUAGAAUUCCACCAAUUCCCACUAGUCCUCCACGAGCUCCUUAGAUUGACGUGAUGAAUGUGAGCUUUGUCAGUCUAUUGAUAUGUUGGAUCUGUGGAUAACUUCUCAUUCUAAGCAUACUGAUCCAUCUUCUGAGGUCACAAGGGUUGGCUAGUCCAUGAAGUUAGGUCCUCUAACUUUCAAUGGUGUUAUGGUCAAGAAGAAUCCUCAAGGUUUUAGUGGUAGAGAUAUGGGAAAUGACCUAAGAUAAAGUGGGGAAGUUCUGGCUCUUUAUCUAUAUCUAUUUCUCCUUAAGUGAAGUCGUUGGGUGAUUAUCGUCCUCAUCAUGAUAGGGGAUGUAGGGAACAAGGUGCCUAAUUAUAGAUUGUUGGGUCUCAGCCAGCUCUGUCCUACCUUUCUUACAGAUUUUAUGGUUAACUGCACCGUGGAUAAUAUGAGAAAGGAGGAGAUUGAUAUUUUAUCUGUUGUUAGAUUGGCUUGAUGCAGCAUGAAUGCCUUUCUAUAGUUGCUUCUGGGCUUAUAGGUUCUUGUUCCUGUACUAGAGAGUGAUUCUUCUAUUUCUGUUUUCGCUCCUAGUACUGGCACUAGCCAAAAAUAUGCCCUUGUUUCUCACCAAGACUCUGAGGUAUAUCUCAAUGAUAUUACUCUUAUGUUUAAACUCUUUUCCCAUGAUGUGUAUUAUUUACUUGAUUUAGGGUCCGCUCUCUCUUAUGUGACCCUAUUUGUUGCUAUGUAUUUUGGAUUUGGUCCCGAGUGUACUUUGGACCCUUUUUCUAUUUCUACACUGGUGGGUGACUCAAUGGUGGUAAUAAAAGUCUAUAGGGGUUGUGUGGUAUCUGUGGGUGGUCGAUCUACCUUGGUAAAUCUAUUUGAAUUAGACAUGAUUGAUUUUGAUGUCUUUUUAGGGAUGGAUUGGUUGCACUCGUCCUAUGCUUAUCUAGACUGUUAGACCUAUAAGGUUGUCUUUAAAUUUCUCGAUGAGCUAAUUAUUGAAUAUGAGGGUGGUUCCCUAGCUCCUACGGGAAGUUUUAUAUCGUAUCCUAGAGAUCAAAUAUUAAUCUACAAAGGGUGUCUCCAGCAUAUGGUCCGGGUUAAAGUUUCUGACUUGGAGUUUCCUUUUUUCCAUUCCGUCCCAGUGGUGAAUGAAUUUCUCAAGGUAUGCCCUAAUGACCUUCCUGAUGUUUGGAUAGGGAGAUUGAAUGUGGAAUUGAUUAUAUUCAUGAUACUCUUCCUAUUUCUAUUCCCUCUAUAUAUAAUGACUCAAGUUGAGUUGAAGGAGCUUAAGGAAUAGUCGAAGUAUCCUUUUGAUAAGGGUUUGUCCGCCCUUGUAUUUUCUCCAUGGGGUGCUUCCAUUCUUUCAGGCAUAAGGGGGGUGUUUUUCUCUGAGUAUGUAUAGGUUAUUGGUGGGUGAAUAAGGUAUUUAGGGUGACCUCCUUGUGGGGUAGACCAUAUAUACAUAUUUUGUAUGGGGUACUCUGUUAGUAGUGCAUGGUGGUUGAUAGACACUAAGCUUGAACCUUAAAUGUUGAUUUUGGUGAAAGGAGUAUGUUAGAUCGAGGAUAUCAUUGCAAGGUUUGUGCGGGUAUAUUGGUAGGCUGGGUAGGGUGUGCGGAAGAGCUAAGGUUGAUGACUCAGAGAAUAUGAGAGUGGGAAAUUUGUGACAUAUAGGUCGUAGGUUUAGUGGAAUUUAUGGAUUAAGGGCUAAGUCAUUGACCGGGGUUGGGCAUAGAGUUUGUAAAACUAUGCUGAACCCAAGAUAGAAAGUUAGACUCCAUAUUCUAUCCAACAUACAACUCCCCUUAACCAAAUUGUACAAUUACCAUACGACAAGUACCCACUUAGUCGUACCCUAAGCAUAAUGUCAAGGCUAGACAAUAAACAACAUAUGAUUUGGACCCUACCUCUAAUAUCAUGUACAUACGAAUCUUAUGAUGUCCAAUCAUACCUUGGACAGUAAAUGACCUACCAACUGAUUAUCAUACAACUUGGGCUACUAAGUCAUACCCAUAUCAUACGACUAGUAAACUUCCAUAUGAUGGCCAGAGAGUUCAAACCCGGGGAAAUUUCUAACGGUCAAAUUUAGGGUGUUUCAAUUAUCCCUCACUUGGAUUAUUCAUCCUCCAAUGAUGGAACAAGGCAGUACAAGCACGAUUACACUCAAACACCUCAACUCUGACCUUUAACAAGUUGGAAAAUAAAAAUGUAAGGAAUUAAUAUUUCCUUUAACAAAGUUUGGAAUCGAAGACGUUAUGUAGAACAUAUAUCUUCCGCAUAAAUUUUUGAAGCAAAAAUCAGGAAUGGAUACUUUUGACUUCAUGUCCUUUUCAUCUUCCCGAAUAUCUUAUUCAACCUUGUGUUUUCACCAAAGAACCUUAACAUAGAUACAUGGAACACCAAGUGAAUGGAGCUCAAACUAGAAGGCAACUCCAACUCAUACAAAACAUUACCAACCCUCAUCAAAACCAUGUAAGGACCAACAUACUGGGAACUGAGCUUCCCCGUCUUACCAAACUGCAUUACUCCCUUCAUAGGAGAAACCUACAAUAAUACCUUAUCCACAACCUCAAACUCUAACUCUAUCUGCCUCACAUCCGCAUAGGAAAUUUGGUGACUUUGGGCAGCCCUGAGCUUAUCUCGAAUCACCUUCACCUUUUGCAUAGCCUGGUGAACCAAGUACGAGUCAAACUUCUCUGCCUCACCAACCUCAAAUGACCCAAUAGGAGAUCUAUACCUUAUACCAUACAAGGCUUCAAAAGGGCCCAUCCCAAUGCUAGAGUGGUAGCUAUUAUUAUAAGCAAACUCCACAUGAGGCAAAUACGUAAGCCAACUAUCACCAUAAUUUAUCACACAAGCAUGAAGCAUGCCUUCCAAUAUCUAAAUAGUCCUUUCUACUUUCCCAUACGACUACGGGUGAAAAACAGUUCUAAGACUAACCUUAGUCCCUAAAAUUUUCUAGAAUGACCACCAAAGUGAGACGUAAACUGUAUACCAUGAUCCGAGAUGAUAGGAAAAAGUACCCAUGCAACUUCAUAGUCUCUUAGAGGUACAACCUUGCAUAAUCCUCAGUCGAGAAGUUAGUCCUAACUAGCAAAAACUAACACAACUUUGUCAUUUUAUCCACGAUGACCCAAAUCGAAUGAAAUUUAUUCUCAUACUAAGGGAGACCAGUAAUGAAAUCCAUGUUGAUCACUUCCCAUUCCUAUUCAGGUACAAUUUGAGCUCAAUUUGUAGGUACAAUCACCUAGGUCUCAUGAGCUCAACGUUCGUUCGUUGACACACCAUGCAUUUGGCAACCAAAUUAGAUACAUCUCUCUUCAUAAUAUUCCACCAAUACAUCUCCUUAAGGUCAUGAUACAUUUUUCUUUAAAUAGGGAUGAACAACAUAGCACGACUCAUGCGCCUCAUCUAAGAUCCUUUCUCUUAAACCAUCGAUGUCGGGAGCACAUAAUCUCCCUUGGUACCGCAAGGUACAAUCACCACUAAUCUCAAAGGACAUUAUUUUUUGUCCACCUACACACCCUUGAUUCUUAUCAAGAUAGGAACUAACAUCUGUUUUUCCUUGAUUUCAGCACCAAGAGAUGAUCGUGCCACUUUCUGUACCAACACACCACCAUCCUUAAAAUCCAGAGGCAAACUCUUAGGUUAUACAAGAGGUAAAUAUCCUUCACAAACUCCCAUUUCUCCUUAUUCACAUAAGCUAAACUCCCCAUGGACAACCAGCUAAGAGUAUCAAUACUACAUUAGCUUUUCCUGGAUGGUAGUGAAGACUCAUGUUAUAAUCCUUGAGAAGCUCAAGUCAUCUUCUUUGCUUGAGGUUAAGCUAUGUCUGAGUGAAAACAUACUGUAGGCUCUUAUGUUUAGAAAAGAUAUCCACAUGCACUCCAUACAAAUAGUGACACUAGAUUUCAACUCAAACACCAUAUCUAACAAUUCCAAGUCACAAGUCGGACAAUGUCUCUCAUGUACCUUUAACUGUCUAGGGGCAUAAGCUAUUACCUUUCCAUGUUGUAUCAAAACACAACCAUGUCCCAUACGGGAAACAUCACAAUAGACCACAAACCCAUUAGUGCCUUCAGAGAAAGUCAAAACUAGAGUCGAAGUUAGCUUAUCCUUUAGCCUCUCAAAACUCUCCUCACAAGUAUCGGACCAUAAGAACUUUACCUUUUUCUGAGUCAAUUUAGUCAAUAGGGCAGUUAUAGUCGAAAAACUCUCCACAAACCUUCUAUAGUAGACAGCCAAACCCAAGAAGCUUCGAAUAUCAAUUGGAGUCGUGGGCCCAACCACUUUUUAACCACUACAACCUUCUGCAGAUCUACCAUAAUCCCUUUACCAUAGAUGAUAUGACCCAAGAAAGUGAUAACGUUCAGCCAAAAUUCAUAUUUCAAAAAUUUGGCAUACAACUGCUUCUCUUUUAAGGUCUGCUACACAAUGCAAAGGUGAUUCGUAUUAUCCACCUCACUCUUAGAAUACACUAGAAUAUCAUCAAUGAAAAUAAUAAUGAACAUGUUAAUAAACUAACAGAAGACCCAAUUCAUCAAAUCUAUAAAUACUGCUAGGGCAUUGGUCAAACCAUACAACAUCACCAAGAACUCAAAAUGCCUAUACCGAGUACGAAAGGAAGUCUUAGGGAUAUCCUCUUCCCUAAUCUUUAACUGAUGAUACAUGGAUCGAAGAUCAAUCUUUGAGAAAAACUUAGCACCCUAAAACCAAUCAAACAAAUCAUCUAUCCUUGGAAGAGGAUACUUAUUCCUUACCAUCAUCUUAUUUAACCACCAGUAAUCAAUGUACAUCUGAAGGAAACCAGACUUUUUACACAUAAAUCACACUGGUACACCCUAAGGGAACGUACUAGGAUGGAUGAAACCCUUAUCUAAAAGAUCCUUUAGUUUCUCCUUAAUCUCCUUCAACUCAGCUGGAGCCAUUCUAUAUGGGGGAAUAGAAAUCAAACGAGUGUCCAAAACAAGAUCAAUCCUAAACUCAAUAUCCCUAUCAGGAGGAACACCAUGAAGGUCACUAGGGAAGACCUCAAAAAAUUUAUUCACCACCGGGAUGGAAUGCAAAGAAGGAUCAUCCGAGUUAGAAUCUUUAACUUAAACUAGAUAAUAGAGAUACCCCUUGGAGAUUAAUCUUCGAGCUCUAAGAUAUAAUAUGAACUUCACUUUUAGACCUAGGAAACCACCCUCCCACUCAAUAACUGUCUCAUUAGGGAAUUUAAAGACAACCUUAUGGGUUUGACAGUCUAGAGAAGCAUAGCACGAGUGAAACCAGUCUAUCCCUAAUAUAAUAUUAAAAUCCACCAUAACUAAUUCAAAUAGAUCCACAAAAGUUUCUUUGCUGCCAACAGAUACCACAUACCCUCUAUAGACUCUUUUAGCAAUCACAGAGUCACCUACUGGGGUAGAAAUAGAAAAAGGGUUAAAAACAUACUCCGAACCAAAGCCAAAAGACAAGCCACUAAUGGGUUAACAUAAGAGAGAGUAGACCCUAGAUCAAGUAAAUAGUACAUAUCAUGAGAAAUGAUUUUUAAUGUAUCAGUCACAACAUGGGAGAUACCUCAGACUCCUAUCGGGUAGAAAGAGCAUAUAGAUGAUUCUGACCAAUGCCAGAACUAGAUGGUUCACCCAUUAGUGCAAGAAUUGAUGAUAAAGCAAUUGAAACCUUUUUAGCCCCCAAAGUAGCCUUACCAAAAGGACAAUUUCUUAUCAUAUGCCUUAUUUGACUGCAAUUAAAGUAUCUAUCCCUCCCCUUAUCAAAAAAAUCCCAAUGCAAUCUACCACAAAACCUACAGUAGGUAACUGAUGGAGCUGACUCCGACCUACUAGCCUGAGAUUAGACACCUAAUGACCUGAAGUUAUCACCACCAUAGAAAUGCCUAUCGCCUUGCGAAUUUGGGUGGGAGCACUAGCUGUAGAGUAAGACCUAGAAUUGCCCCACUUUUUCUUGGGCCACUUCCUACCAUCUCUACCACUCUAUUGCUGGCAACCACCCUGCUUAGAGAACCGCAACUUCUUUCCCUGCCUCUUCCCUAUUUUAGCCUACUUUGUUUCUCUUGCUCUACCUUUUGCAUGUACAUAACUAAUCUAGAGAUAUCUAUGUCCUUGAUAAAAAAGAUAGCCUUACUCUCUAAUAUCAACUCUUUAGAAAACUUGGAAGAUAACUUUCUAAUUUUAUCCCUCAUGCUAGAAACCAUCUCCAAAACACAUCAAGACAACAGGUGAAACUUCAAGGCAUACUCUUUUACAAACAUCUUACCUUGCUUCAGAUUAACAAACUUUUUAGCCUUAGCUUCCCUCAACUCCUGAAGAAAGAAGCAAUCUAAAAAUACAUUAGAAAAAUCCUUCCAAAGAGCUGACUCAUCACCAACACCCCUUGCUUAAUCCUAUUCCUCAUACCAUUGGUAUGUUACAUCCUUCAGCUGGUAGGCGACAAACUUUAUACCCUCAACAUUUAUGGCAUGCAUAAUACGAAAAAUAUUUUCCACCUCAUCCAGAAAACCCAUAGAAUUCUCCUCCAACAUAACACCAAUAAAGGUCAGAGGGUUCAACCUUAUAAACUGGCCAACCCUUGUGGCCUCAAAAGAUGGAGUAACAGGAAUACCACGCUCUAACUGAGUAGCUACCAACUGUGCCAAUAUAUGGAUAGACUGAUGAUACUCAAGGUUCAUCACUUUAGCCUGAGGAGUCUGAGAUAGACUAGAGAACUAGUGGAAUUCUAGAAUAAUCCAAAACUAGACCCCUAGAUCGGGUAUAGAUCGCAUAAGUAGAAUGGGUCCCAUCAGUAUUGUCCUAAGUUGGCUAGAGGAGUUUCUAUGAGCUUUAGAUCAUCGAGGAGGCAUGAUCUGAAAAGUAAAAAAAUAGGAAUAAGAGUAUAAUUCAGGACCUUAAGCUCUACAGCUCAAAAAUAGAACACAAAAAAGAGAAACAUUCCUAAAUAUCUCAUAGCUUCUACAUUAUUAGUGUGGCAAGCUAUACACUAUUAAAAGAGACUCUACUAGACACGACUUUGUAAACUCCCAAGUGACCACGAACCUUAGGCUCUGAUACCAAUCUAACACGACCCAAACCAGGGCCUAGUAGUAUCGGGUUCCUCAUUUCCAACCAAGAUUGGAGACCACCCCCAAUGCCCAACUAUAACCUCCCUACUUCCUCUAUCGGAUGAAUAUAAAGCAUAUAACAAGAAAUCAAAUUCAUUCAAAUGGUGUCAGCCUCAAUACCAAUACAAACACCAAGGCUGACACCACUACCGACACCACCCAUGCCAACCCAAAGUAAUCUCAUAAAGCCUCUAUCCAAAAUCAAAACAAUAACUCAUUGGGAUAUACCCCUGACCAUAGACAAAAACCAAAGUCUACAAAAUAAUAAAAGUACGUAAAGAAAUCCAUAACAUGAAAUGGAGUCUUCUACAAUAUGGAGGCUCAACACUUCAAUCCGACAUAAAGCUGUCCCUGAAUGUAAGUCACUGAGUAUGAGGAUUAGUAUGGCCAGUUCCUAUAUUGCAUGGGGAUACAACACCCCAAGACGGGUUGGCGAGUAAAUGCUAGCAUAUACUCAAGAAAAAGGAUAAAAUUAAUGCCAUCAUUCAAAACCAAAGUAAAUAACCAUAUGAAAUCACAUGAUAUAUACAAAUAUAUAACAUGCCAGAAAGGGAAUCGGGUUUAGCGUGUAUUAAAAAACUUAACCUAGGUUAUGUAAUAUAAUCGUUCUAAAACCACCCACAGGCUAUAUGGGUCCAGUGUUACCCCUGAACGGGCCCCAUUGCAUAUAGAUGCAUAAACCAGAGAUAUCAUAGAGGUAGGGUAUUCCCAUGUAUUCUUUGCCCUUAAUAUUAUAUAUAUAUAAGUAUAAAAUUAAGGGAUUCUCGUGUGCCCCACAAGUUUAUGGUCACUACGACCAACCAUCAUGUUGACAAAUAUGAGUUUCCAUUAUUUGUCAAUUGGACUCACACCUUAACGAUUAACUAUCACAACCACUAUUAGUUCCCAUUUAAAACCUUUAACAUAUAACCAAACCACUAAUUCCAGAGUUAAUUACCAAGUCAUUAUGAAGUUAUAUCGUUAUACCGAUUACAAUUAAUGUCAUUAGACAACACUUAGGGUAUUCCUAUGUGCUCUAUAGGAAUUCUAUUCAAUCACCACCAAGGCCUUUCCAAAUUAUUUAAUUUAAUUAAUCCAUUUUGGGUUCCAUUUCCAUUUUAUGCAUUGGAAGGUUUUCAAUAAAAUUCCAACUAUGUGAUAAAACCAUUCUCAAAGGUAAUUUAACAAACAUGUUGAGGGUAUAUAGUUUUCAAAACCAAAACCAAGAACCAUUUAACCAUUCCCAUGCAACCACAUGUUCAAACCAACAUUAUAACAAGAAAAACCAUAAAUAGAACAUGGGAUAACAUCAUCCAACCAUUAGUAUCCAAAACCCCCAACAUAUAGUUAAAAACCAACACAAACCCAUAAUAAUUCCAUGAAAAUCAUUAAUUAAAACAUGCUCUUAGUUUGAGGUAACAAUAAGAAAGGAGUAAUAUUUCUUAGAUAACAAAUAAGACAGAGAGAUCUACUCUUGAAAGCCCAUAAUUGAGUCACCUUGAGGAAACCCUAACCUCUUUCUUGAACCAAAAGCUUGAGAGAGAUUUAAGAGUAUUUAAAGUGUUUUUGAUUGAGAAUAAUAGGGUAAAUAAAAUUCCAAUAGUGUUUUAAGUUAUGAGGACAAAAGAAGUUAUGAGAAGAAAUUUCCAGAAUACCCCAACUUAAAUUGUAAAAAUUUGUACAAGUAGGUAUGGUUGGACCUCUCCACUCGUACCCAUAUUAUACUAGUGGUACCAUCCACUUGUACCCAAGAUAGAAAGUUGGAUUCCAUAUUCCAUCCAACAUACCACUCCCCUUACCUAAAUUGUACCAUCAUCAUAUGAAAAGUACCCACUUAGUCAUACCCUAAGCAGAAUGUCAAGGCUAGAUAAUAAACAACAUAUGAUUUAGACCCAACCUCUCAUAUCAUGUACAUACGACUUUUAUGAAGUCCAAUUAUACCUUGGACAGUGAAUGUCCUACCACACAUUGAUUAUCAUAUGACUUGGGCUACUAAGUCAUAUCCAUCCAAUGAUUCCACUACUUUUCAAAUAGAAACUCCAAUUUCUCUUUCUACGUCCAUCUCUUUCAAUGCCCAGGCAUCCAUCCAAUGCAUUCUUUUUGAUCUUGUACCUUAUGUAGGCUUGGAAAUCAUAGGCUAGACAAGCGGUAUACUGAAUACCAACCCAAUCUCAACGAAAAAAAAAAGAAAAAUCAAGUACAUCAUAUGAAUAGUAAGCUUAAGUUAUAUGAUGUCCAGAGAGUUCAAAACAUAGGAAAUUUCUAAGGGUCAAACUCAGGGUGUUUCACAUGUCUUCCACUAGAACCUUUAACUCCCAGUUAGUUUUUAACAUAGGAUGGAUUAUGCGGUUAUACUCAAGCCCUCUAGUUAUGUAUUCAGGGAGGGAAGUUGGGAGGUUGAGAUAGAGGAAUAUUUUUUUCAUAAUGAAAUCUUGAUGGAGAGUGUGGUCCUAUUUAGGGGAUAUUAGGUGCUUGGUUGUGAAGGAAGGAACUCUGUGGAAUGCUGAAGAGGACAUAAAGUCUAACCAUCCAAUCCUAUUCUCUGUUUCAAAAAUUUAUGCUUAAGGUAAGUGUUGUUCUUGACAUCAUUAUUUUAUGUCUUUCUUAAAUGUAGAUUAUAAAAUUGAUUUUCUAUCUUAAGGUAAAAGUAGAGAUAUUUAGGGGAUUAAUCGUGCUUGUACUGUCUUAUUCCAUUAUUAGGGGAUGAAUGAUCUAAGAGGAGGAGAAUUUAAACACCCUCGGUUUUGGCCCUUCAAAAUUUCUAGAGUCUUGAACCUUCUGAUCAUCAUAUGACUCAUACCUUGACUCCUAUGGUGAGGUUAUGGGUCUAGGAAGCUAAUUGUAUAUUGGCCAGUAUGAUAUUGGCUAUAAUUUAUUUAAGGUACGAGAAGACUCCAUAUGAGUUAUACAUUAAUGAUAUAAGAAGUAUAGUGCCUAACUGUAUAUUUUCUAGUAUGAUAUUGGCCAAGUUUUGUUCAUGGUAUGAGAAAACUCUGUACGAGUCAUAUGUUCAUGAUACAAGAAGUAUAGUGUGCAAUCGUAUAUGUCUAGCCUUUGAUGUUUUGUUUAGGGUAUGACUUGAAGGGUACUAGUCGUAUGGUGAUGGUACGAGUUAGUCUAAGAAGUUGUAUGUUGGAAAAAAAGUGAUGUUCAACUUUUUGAUCAAGUUACGAAUUGAGGGUACCAUAAGUAUGAUAUGGCUACAAAUUGAGGGGUCUAUCCGUACCCUCUUGAGUUCUUUUUACAACUUUUAAGCUAAGGGUAUUUUUGACAAUUCCCAUCCUAAGCCCCUAAGUCCCCACGUAUUAUAACCAUAGUUGGUCCCCCCUUACACACUUAAUUAGUUAAAAUACACUCGCGAAAAUCUCUCUAACAAUCUCUAUAGAAGAUUAGGCUAGGGUUUCUUUAAGGUGGUCAUCUAGAGGCUUAAGGAUCAAAAUCUCUUUGUGAAUAUGCAUAACUCAGGUAUGUUACUCCUCCUUCAUUUUUAGUUCAACUAAAAACAUAUUUCAAUGAAUGGUUUUCAUGGAAAUAUUUUUGUAUUAUUUUGGGUUUUGGAGCAUAUGUUUGGGGUUUUGGUUGCUCUUGAUUAGAUAACGUUUCUCCAUAUUUUUCUUAUGGUUUUCAUGUUAUAAUUGUGGUUUAAACAUGUGGUUGCAUAGGAAUGGUCAAUUUAUAUAUGGUUUUUCUUUGGAAAAAUAUUAUGCCCUCAACAUGUUUGUUAAAAUGCCCAUGAGAAUAUUUUUGCCAUAUAGUUUGACAAUUAUUUAAAACAUUGCAUUUCAUGAUAUUGUAAUGAAACCUAAAUUGGUUUAAAUGGUUUUAAAUGGAUUGAAAAGGCCUUGGUGUCCAUGGUAUUUUCUUAAAUGGAAACUUUGGAGUCAAAUUGGUUUAAUGGAUUUGGUAUGACAUAAAUGGAUAGACUUGCAAGCUCUAGUUUUGGUAUGACGAUACCAACGGUUGAUGCCUAAUAAAUAAGACUCCUUGGUAAAUAGUUAAUUUUGUGGACAAAAACUUAAAACUCAUGUUUAUAGAUAUGAGGUUUGGUCUUGGUGAUCGUGUGCAUAUAUCACAAUUAUAUUUUGGAAGAUAUACUAGUCAUCUUAGGUUUUUCUCUAGAUUGUGCAGCUAAAACAUGCCAGGGCCCUUUCAGUAGGGGGAGCUAUACCCAUAUAGUCCAUGGGUGGAUUUAGGACGGCAGAGCUACACAAUCCAAUGUUAAAGAUUUUAAAUGCAUGCUAAACCCAGUUUCAUUUUCCAUCAUGGUAUAUAUAUAUGGUUGAAUAUGGUUAUUCCCUUGGGUUUGAAUAAUGACAUUAUUUUAUUCUUAUUUCUAUUUAUAUGUUAGCGUUUACCCGCUAAUACAUCUUUGGGCUUAGUAUCACCAUGCAAUAUAGAAACUGACUGUACUAUCACUCUUCUGCUCAUUACUUGGUAGUUUAGGGAUAGCUUGAGUCAAACAAAAGUGGUGAGCUUCUAUUUUCCAAAAGUCCUAUUUCAUGUUAUAGUUUACCUUAUGUUUUUACUAUUUAUUUGACAUUGGUUUUGGCUAUGGUCAGGGUGAUGUCCCGACUAAAUUUCUUUGAAAUUAUUUAGAGGAAUUGUAUGGACAACUAUAGACAUAGGUACAUGAUGGUUUGUUUGGUUUGGUUUUGACGGUAUGAAUUUGUUGGAUUGGUGUCAGUUUUAGACUUAUCCCAAAGUCAUUGAAUUCUAAAUACUCUAUCUUGUUAUAUGUUCCGAAUUUAUCUGACAAGGGUUGUUUAUUGGUUGGAUUAGGAAGAGGGGGUGGUCUACGGUCCAUGUUGGACUUGAGAUGCCUGACAUAACUGGGCCUUAGUUUGGGUCGUGUCAUGAUAUAUUGAUAACCAGCAAGGCCGGAGGACACUUGAUGAUAUAUUGAUACUUGGAAAAGUCGUAGGAUACUUGAUAAUAUAUUGAUACUUGAAAAGUCUGGAGGAUACUUGAUUAUUUAUUGAUACUUGGCUAGGCUGGAGGAUACUGUAAUUAUAUAUUAAUGCCCGACAAGGCUAGAGAUUGGUUAUACCGAUGAUGGACAUAAUGAUAAUAGUUAUUAUACAGAUGGUUAUGAUGAUGAGAUUGUGAUAUUAAUUAUGUACCUUGUAUUCAUUCCUGCGUGCGCAUCUCCUAUCACUAGUAUGCAACUAUGUUUAUUUGUCGAUAUGGGAUAGUUUCCUAGAUAUGGUUCAAGAAUACAUCUUGUUUUGUUGUAUGUUGAUCGAACCUUCUAAGCAUGGGGUAGUGGGGUACGCAUAGGCUCAGCUAUGUAAUUGGUUGUCCUGAGUUACUGGUUAUUCAUGUUGUUAUUAAUAUUGUUAUUAUCAUGGUUAUGAUCACUAUUAUGGCUAGCUUAUCAAAAAUUGGUCGUUGAAUCGAUAUCGGUAUUUGAAGUAUGUUUUUGGCUUCUUCUAUCUUAUGAUUGUAUUGUUAUGCACAGUUUUUUCAUGUGUAGCCAUAUUGGCUUGAAACCCUAAGUAUGAUAGUAUUAAAUCUUGGUAGUAUUAUAAUGAGGUCUUAGAAUAAGGAUAUGAUGAUCUAGGUUAUGCUUUGAGAUGACCUCAUGUUUAUAUGUAUAUAUAGCUAUAUGGAGCUAUCGAACUACCGUAUAUCUCUUCCUUUAUUUGUUCAUAUUGUAUAUUCAUUUCUUUGCCUUGCAUAUUGUUAUAUAUCUUUCUUUUGCUCUUCAUCUAUAUAUUGGCAUGAGAUAAACGAUAUAGUAUUGUUGUCUAUUAAAUGUGGCUGGAAUAGUAUACUUCACCCUAAUACUUCCUUAGUCUUAUUAUGUUACUCUUAGGCUUGAAUAGGAUAGCUGUCUCUUAUUAUUCUCAUUGACUUGUUGUAUGAUUUCUAGACUCUUGGGUGUGGUUUCCAUUUGGUUUAUAUGUUGUAUAUAUUUGCUUUAUAUUUGGAGCUCAGUUGGUAGUUACCAACUAAUUAACAUUGGUUUGGUACUCAUACUACACUUCUGUAGCCUACAGAUCAUACUAUGGGUUACCGCCGCUAAUGUGUACAUCGUACGGAGCAGCCUUGGUUUAGAGACUUAGAGUGAACUCCUGACUUUUAGAGUAUUAAUUAUCUCUCUCUUAUAUAUUAGACUAGUCUUUAAAUUGAAUACAUAGAUAGGUUGUAUCAGUGUAAUUCUCUUGAUAUUUUACUUUUGUACUCUUAUUAUAUUAGAAGCGCUUGUACUGAUACAACCAGGUUUUGGGAUUCACUUAUGUAAUUAAUCUUUAUUUAAUUUAUUCUAUAUUCUUUUACUUAUCUAUUGAGUAAUUUGUUACAAGUCAUUUCGGACUACGGGUUGGCUUGCCUAUGGUAGGUUAUUGUAAGCGCCAUCAUGAUUGAAGGAAUUGGGUUAUAACAAAUUGAUAUUAGAGCCUAGGUUUCAUCAGUGUAUUAGUACAAGAGCUAAGUUGAAACAGCUAGACUUAGAACCAUUGAAAAACAUUAUUUUUUAGUGUCACUGGGGCGGGUACGACUAGGGUCUUGAGUUGAACCCAAUGGAUACGAGUCAUAUCCUCCCUCACCUACCCGCUCAUACACUUAGAAUCCUAGGAAGGGUAGCAUUCUAUCUUCUAUAAGACUGACCUCUCCUUAAUCGUGCCAUAAGGGUAUGAGUACCUAUGUGAGUUGUAUAAAGUGAGGUUUUAGCUUGGAAUAGACUGUGUUUUUUAUGAGUCGAGCAUAUGACUAGGGGUGAUUUUACCCCUUGGAUAAGACUCAAAAAAGAAUGGCCAUACCCUUAACAGUGUGUGUCACCUAGGAGAGGCCUAGGGUAUGAGUCAAGGUACCACUCAUACCCUAGGGUACGACUACUUAAGUGAGUCUUAAGGUAAGUCGUACCCCUGGAUGGGUUUAUUUUCUAGCUUUUAACUAAGGGCCUUAUGGUUAUUUUCCUUGCCUAAAACCUUAAACUCUCUCACUAAAUAAGUGUGUGUAGCCUUCUAAAUAUCCAUUUUGAUGGGUCAAACACCCUAAAUACUCUCUAAAUCUCAUCUUUUAAAAAAUUGAGUCUAGGGGCUUCAAGAGAAAAAGGGGAGUCUUUUAAAAGGCAUGUACCUUUUACCCUUUAUAAAUAACUCUAAACCCUUGUAUUUCACACUUGGAUUAGUAAGUGUACAUGGUGGCUUUGAAAUCAAAUGAAAAGAGUUUUAUUGCCUAAUGAUGAAUAAUGAUGGUAGUCUGCACAUGUUAAUGCUAUUUGUAUGUUGUCUAAUAUGUGGGUCUUGAGUAACCCCAGUAUUAAUAGUUUCUAUCAUAAAAUUGGCCUUGGAAAAGGCAUGUACACAAGGUGUUUGUGAAGAUGUCUAAGUAAAAUGUCUAGUUAAAUGAUGAUGAUAUUGUGAACUAGGGAAAUGGCCCAAGAUUAAUGAAUGCUUGAUAAAUGAUAUUGUAAAGGUAAAGUGAGCAAUGUAUUAUGUAAUUAUGAACCUUAAUGGCUUGAUAAAUAAGAAGAGGGUUGAAGUCCCUAACAUGAAAAUGAAUGUGAAUUGUGUAUAGGACUAAAUUGUGGUAUAAAAUUACUAAUGAAAUAUGAAUGGCUUGUAAGGGUCUUGAGGACCAUAGUUUCAAUUACAUGAUGAAUUAAGGCAUUGACCUAUUGAAAUGUUUGAGCAAUGAAGGCUCUCAUGAGGACCAUGUUGUUAUGUAUAAUAUGGAAAUGGCCAAAUGGGUUAAAGUCCUUAUUUGUGGAAUUGAAUGUAUGUGGAUAAAUGGACUAAGGGUUAGAGUCCCAAUGUCGUCUAAUAAUAGUCUUGAGUUUAAAUUCCCUUUCCUAAUGAAAUAUCUUAUGGUUAAUGUCCCUUGCAUAAUGAGAUAUCAUAAGGUCGAAGUUCCUUGCCAAAUAAAUUAGAUUGGGGUUAGAGUCCCUUAACAAAUAUGGCACGAGGUUAGAGUCCCUCGUCAAAUAUAUGAGCAUAUGGUUAGUGUCCCAUGCUUGAAUAGAUAUGUAUGAAUGGUUAGAUUCCCUCACUUAAAUGGGUGUACAUACAGUUAGAGUCCCUUAUUUGAUGAUAUAUAAAUAUGGUAGAGUCCUAUGCCUAAUGAGAAAUGCUUGAAUCUAUAAACGUGGAAGGUUAGAGUCCUCUAUUGUAUGUAAGAUGAAUGAGUUCUUCCAAAGUUUUAAUAAAUCUUAUCCCCUUGAUUACAAUGUGAUAUGUCUAUCUAUAUGGAUAAGGUUAUGAAGAUGAAUGUAUAUGAUAUAUUGCUUGUUAUUAAAAGAUUAUGCUAUUUUAUCCUUAUUCUUGAGUUACAUGCUAGCAUUCCAACCGUUAAUCAUCUUCGGCUGAUGCAUCCUAGGUUUGGACCCUUAGAAAAUUUCAAAGAAUCUUAUUUUUCAGACCCAUUAUGACUCAUGGUAUGAUCCAUAAAUUAGGGUAUAAGUGGUAAAGACCUAUCAUAAACUGAUCAGUGUUAGUUUGUAGGAUGGUCUUAGACACUGGAAUGGAUACCACUUGAGGUUAUUAGUCAUAAGGCAUGGGUAUGAGUCAUAUAAGUGAUUCAUAAGGUGGUUAGUGUUUGAUCCUUCUAGUGUUAUAUUCUGCUAGGUAUACGAAUCGUAUGUUGAGGUUACAACUUGGUUGGAUGAGUCAUAUACUGGAUAGUUUCUGAUCCAUGGUUGAGGAUUGGUUAUGAUUGUGUGGGAAUAAACCGUAAGCUAGGUUAUGACUCGUAACGAGGUCAGUCAUAACCCUGUGUUGGAUUUUUAUGGGCUUUAAGUGGGAGUAUUCUGGACAUUUCCCUACUUGAGUAUUCUGGACAUUUCCCUACUUACCCUAAUAAGGACCCACGACUUCUAAUAUACUUAGGAGGUUAUUUACCCUAUUAUUUUAUUCUUAAAUACUUAGAAUCUCUUCCUAAACAAUCAUAAUUCCCAUAAGAGCUUUUGAGGCAAAGAGCUAGGGUUUCAACUAAGGGAUUACUUUUGGGCUUGUCUUGGUGAAUUCACUCCAACAAUCUUCUUGGUUUAAGGCAUGAUACUCUUCCCUACUUGUAAUUUCAAUUAAAGGCAAGUUUAUAUGGUUAAUUUCAUGGCUUUUACUUUUGCAAGGUUUUGGUUUUCAAUCAUUGAUUUGGGGGUUUUGAUGUUAAAGGCUUAGUUAUGAUAUCUUAUGGUUGUAGUUAUGUUUUCUAUGAAUUAAUGGUGGUUUUGGAUAAUAGAAUUGCAUAAUGGUAAUGGAAUUUGGUUUUGGUUAUAUUAUGCCCCCAAGGUGUUUGAUUAAAUGCUUAUGAAGAUAUAUUUAUUGCAUUUACUCUUUUAAAAGGGAACUCUUGCUUGUUUUCAUCUUAUGCAUGAAACUACAAAUGGUUUAAAUAGUUUACAAAGGUUAAAGGUGAAUUGGUUAUAUUUGUAGAGAAUAUGGUAGUCUCCUGAGAGGUUAAUAUGACAAAUGACAAAGUCACCAAGAGUCCCCUUAAUCUAAAUGGGUUGUCUACGAAAAAUACUUGCAAGUAUGGUGGUAUGAUGAUACCACUGGUUUAUUAAAUAUCCAUGGUUAAUAAAUGGAUAAUUAGAUUAUUUGUACUCGAUUUUAAUUGGGCAUUAAUGGAAGGAAGUGUAAGAUAGCUCGUGGAAGGUGGCAAUCCCAGUGGGAUCAAAAUUAAAAACUCAUAUUUGCCGAUAUGAGGGGUCUUUGAUGGCCACGUACGAGUGCCAUGUUUUUAUUAGAGGGAUGUUCUAGCAAUCCCAGGGUUAUUAACUGGUUGCGCAGCUACACACGCCGGACCCUUUCAGUAGGGGGAGCUGAACCCAUAUGGCCCGUGGGUGGUAGGACAACUAAGCUACACGACCCAAGUUAAGGUUUUAAAUGGCAUCAUAAACUCGGUCCCUUAUCCCAGCACUUACAUAUAUGUAUGGUUGUUUGCAUUGGAUGGUUUUCACUUGGUUUUGAUAAAUGGCAUUACCUUAUACUUAUCCCUAGAUUUAUGUAGUGUUCACCCACUAACUCAUCUAUUACCAACUGUAUACCCAUACUAUGCAAGAACCGGAUGUUCAACUCCUCCUUCAUAGUAUUUGAUUUAAGGAUAUAUUAUUGGACUGAAGUUGUGAGCUUUCAUCCUUUCGAAAGGCAUCAUUUCAUGUUGGAUAUUCUUAGACAUUUAUUUUCUUUUCAGAUAUUCAUUUUGGCCAUGGUUGAGGGUAUAUCCCAAUGAGAUAUUUGUAUUCUUUUGGAUAGAGGCUUUGUGGUACUUCUGGGGGGUUGGAAUAGGCGGGAUCGGUAUUGGUAUCAGCCUUGGUGUUAGAAUAAGCUGGGAGGCUGGAAUCAUCGGAAAUAAUUUCUCACUAUUCCAUCAUAUUACAUUUUGGGUUUGAUUUUUAUAUUAUUUUUUGAUAUUCUCUUUGGUUUGGUAUGGUAUGGAUGGUUGAUUUGGUAUGGACAGGCUUGGUUGGGUCGGUCAUGGUUUUGACCCUAUACUAAAGUAAUUAUGAGAGCAUUGCGUAAUUUAGUUGUAUGCUCAAAAUUCAGCUCAUCUAAGGUUGUAUGAGGUGGUUGGGUUAGGUUAAGGGGGUGGUCCCUGUUCCUAGGUGGACUUGGGAUGCCUAUAAUGACAAGCCCCAGGUUCGGGCUGCGUCAAGUUGGUAUCAGAGCCUAGGUUCAUGGUUAAUUAGGAGUCCACAAAGUCAUGUUUAGUAGAGUCUUUUUUAGAGGUGUGUAGCGUGCCACACUCAUAUGGGAAAGGCUGCAAGACUUCUAAGAAUGUUUCACUUUCUUGGUAUUCUUUCUUCAAUCUCUACUUCUCGGUCCUGGAAUCUACUCUAAUCCUUGUUUUUUCAAUUUUCAGAUCAUGCCUCCUAGAUCUAAAAAAUAAGGAAAUACUUCCGUCUCAUCUGGGGAUAAUGCUAAAGAAGUACUUCCUAUAUCUGGAGUAUAUCUUUGAUCUUAUGAUCUUGUUCCUAAUAAUACUAGAGUUCCUUCUAUUUCUCCUACUACUUCUUAGGUCCCUCGGGGCAAUAUGAUAAAUGAAGAGUUUCGUCAGUCUAUACAUGUUAUUGCCUAACUAGUUACUACUCAAGCCUAAUGGGGUAUGAUAAUUAUUGUAUCUACUGAGGCUGCUAGGCUUGGACAGUUUAUGAUGAUGGGUCCUUCGACUUUUAUGGGAGUGGAGGUAGAGGAAGACCCACAGGGCUUUUAUAAUGAAAUAGAGAAGAUUUUUUGGGUAAUAAGGGCUACUAAUGUGGAAAGAGUAAACUUUGCAGCUUAUCAGCUCAAAGAGAUUGAACUUUGCAGCAUAUCAGCUCAAAGAGAUUGCUUAUCUAUGGUUUGAGGAGUAGGAUAGAGAUAAGGGUGAUAUAGAAAAGGAUGCUUUGUGGGGGAUCUUUUUUGAUGCUUUCAUUGAUUGGUUCUUUACUCAAGAAUUGAGGAAAGCUAAGAUGGAGGAGUUUAUGAACCUCAAGCAAGGGAGAAUGUCUGUGAAGUAGUAUGCUUUGAAGUUCCAUCAGUUGUUAAGGUAUGCUCUUGAUUUGGUGGCUAAUAUGAGGUUGAGGCUGAGGAAGUUUGCUUCUGGGAUAAACAGAGAUCUAAUUCUAUAGAGCAAGACUGCUUUGCUCAUGAGGGAUAUCGACAUAUCAAGGCUAAUUGUUCAUAUAUGUAAUAGGUUGAGGAUGAGAAGAGAAGGCAGGCGGAAUAUGGAGACAGGCAUAGUAAGCGGGGUAGGUUUUUUAUUAGAGAGGUGCCUAGUCUCAAGGUGGUAGAGAUAGUGGGAAAUGGCUGAAAAAAGUGGGGGAGUUCUAGUUCCUUCUCUACUGCCAGUGAUCCUUAACCCAGUAGUCAAGCGACAAGUAUCAUCAUGAUGAUGAAAAUUAUCGAGCGUAGGGAGUCCAGUCUCGGAUAAGUGGAGGUCAGUUUGUUUCUUUGUGUACUCCUUGUUGGUUUUAUUGUCAUCCUCAUCGGGGAUUCUAUGAGAAAAGUAGGUAUAAGUGCUAGAAGUGUGGCCAAGUAGGCUAUCAGCUUGGGGAUUUUUCAUCUAACAAGGUUGCUACAGGGGCGAAUAAGAUUCUGGUGGCUUCAUCUUCUAUUUCUAUACCCAGGGGUGUGACAUCUACUUCUGUUACUAUUCCUAGUUCCAGUGCUAGUCGAAAUAGGUUGUUUGCUUUGGUAUCCCGUCAGGAAUCUGAUGAAUCACCUGAUGUUCUUAUUGGUAGGUUAAAGUUUUUCUCUUGUGAUGUGUAUUGUUUGCUUGGUCUAGGUUCUACCCUUUCCUAUGUUACCCCUUAUGUAGCUGUGUCUUUUGGUUUUGAUCUAGAAAUUAUUUCAGAUUCAUUAUUAUUUCUACCUCAGUAGGAGAUUCGAUCAUUGCUGAAAGGGUCUAUAAGGGGGUAUUGUACCUGUAAGUGGUAGGCAGACUUUGACGGAUCUAUUUGAGUUGGGUACGAUAGAUUUUGAUGAAAUCUUAGGCAUGGAUUGGUUGCAUUCUUGUUAUGCAUAUUGGGAUUGUCGAACCCGUAGGGUCAUCUUUAGGUUCCCUGGUGAGCCAGAAAUAGAAUGGGAAGGUUUUUUCCUUAGUGCCUAGGGGAAAGUUAUUUCUUAUCUUAGAGCCCAAAGGUUAAUCUCUAAAGGUUGUCUUUAUCACUUAGUCGUAGUUAAAGAUUCUAAUUCGAAAGGUCCUCCUUUAUCUUUGGUCCCUAUGGUUAAUGAGUUUCCAGAGGUCUUUUCGGAUGGUCUUCCUGGUGUUUCUCUUGACAGGAAAAUAGAGUUUGGUAUUGAUCUACUUCUAGACACUCAUCCAAUUUCUAUUCCUCCAUAUAGAAUGGCUAUGGCUGAGUUAAGGGAACUCAAGAAGCAAAUUAAGGAUCUUCUAGAUAAAGUAUUCAUUCGUCUAGUGUUUCCUUAUAGGUUGCACUAGUGUUGUUCGUGUGCAAGAAGGAUAAUUCUAUUUGUAUGUGUAUCAACUACUGGUAGUUGAGUAAGGUAACGGUCAAGAAAAAAUAUCUUCUCCUGUCGGAUAGAUGAUCUGUUUGAUCAGCAUCAAGGUGAAAAGUUCUUCUCAAGAUAGAUCUUCAGUCUGGGUACCAUCAUUUAAAGAUUAGGGAGGUGGAUAUCUCUAAGACGGCUUUUUGCACUAGGUAUGGGCAUUAUGAGUUUCUGGUGAUGUUAUUUGGAUUGACAAAUGCCCUGAUAGUGUUUAUGGAUCUGAUGAAUAGGGUGUUUGACAGUAUUUUGAUCUCUUUAUCAUUGGGUUUAUAAAUGAUACUCUGGUGUAUUCAAAGAGUGAAGUGGAUCAUGCUAAUCACCUCUGUGUGAUAUUGCAGACCUUAAGGGAACAACGGUUGUUUGCUGAGUUCUCUAAGUGUGAAUUUCAGUUGAUUGUUGUGACUUUCUUGGGUCAUAUCAUUUCCAAAAAAGAGAUCAUAGUGGAUCCACAGAAAGUGGUUGUGGUAAAGAAGUGGCCUAGACCUAUGACUGGGUAUUAUAGGUAGUUUGCGGAGAGCUUCUUAUCAAAAUUUGUUUCUUUGAGUAAGUUGACUUAGAAGAAUGUUAAGUUUUAUUGGUCGGAUCCAUGUGAAGGAAGUUUUGAAAAGUUGAGGGAUAAAUUGACAUCAUCUCUAGUUCUGACUUUGUCGGAAGGCAAUGAUGGUUUCAUAGUUCAUUGUGAUGCAUCUCGGGUUAGUCUUGGUUGCAUGUUAAUGCAGCAUGGGAAGGUGAUAGCUUAUGCUUCCAGGCAGUUGAAGGUGCAUAAGAGAAACUAUCCUACGCAUGAUUUGGAGCUGUUGGCCAUUGUGUUUUCUUUGAAGAUAUGGUGGCAUUAUUUGUAUGGGUUCAACGUGGAUAUAUUUUUUGAUCACAUGAGUUUGCAGUAUGUUUUCUCGCAGAAAGAGCUUAAUCUCAGGCAAAGAAGAUGGCCUGAGCUUCCAAGGACUAUGAUAUGAGUCUUCACUACCAUCCAGGUAAAACUAAUAUGGUUGCUGAUGCACUUAGUAGGUUGUCCAUGGGUAAUUUGGCUCAUGUGGAAGAAGGAAAGUAGGAAUUGGUGAAGGAUAUUCAUCGCUUGCAAAAUCUUGGGGUUCGUCUCUUGGACUCAAAGGAAGGUGGUGUGAUGUGCAAGAAGUGGUUAGAUCAUCUCUUGGUGCGGAGAUUAAGGAGAAGCAAGUGUUGAUGAAAAUCAAAGGCAGCGUUGGUGAGAAAAAGGAGGCAGAUUUUGAGAUGAUGGAACUUAGCAGUACCAAGGGCGGUUGUGUGUACCUAAUGUAGAUAGUUUGCGGCAAAGGAUCUUGGCUGAGGCGCACGAGUCGCACUAUUUGUCCGUUGAUUAGUGGUGAUUUUACCACCCAUUCUCACUAAUUCAUGCACAUUACUUUUUUUGAAUGAAUCAACGAGACAUAAUUGUGAUUAAAUGCACUAAUAUCCACUCCUUGCAGACAUAGAGUUGAGAAAACAUAAAGAUGUGGAUCAGAUCUUGAAAUGAUCAAAAGGAAUCAAAAAAGUUCUACUAAUGACUCAGAGCAGAAAUGCCUUGGUUUCCGCUGUCGCGGUAUGAGCUCCGCGAUCAUAGUCUUCUAAACAGAGAACAUAUAAAGCCUCAAGUAAUGCAAUCGUAGUCGGAGGAAUGCAAUUGCGGUUUAUCAAGAUGGUCAACAUACCGUGAACGCUCAAUCAUAGAUGUGACCGUGGUUGUCAAUCGCAGUUAAUGCUCUGCGAUCACGAAUCAGUAAGAUAAAUGAGCAAAGGCAUUGUGGGUAAUUCAGACAGCUGAUUCAAGAUUUCUGUAGAGGAUCCAAACACUUUUUGAAGAGGUGUGGUGAAAUUGAGGAGAAAGUGCGAGAGAAAAAAAGAGGAAGAACCCUAGAAUUUUGGGUGAAAAAUUGAUUGUUCGUAGUUAUUGUAAUUAUUAUUCAAAGAGAAGAUUGGCGAAAUUUAAAUGUGGAAUUUAAGAUUAUUUUACCUUCUAUUAUUAUGGAUACCAUGGAAGAUAAACUUGGUAAAAGUCUUUUCCCCUAUCUCUUGAGUAGCUAUCUUUUGUCUAGGGAUUAUGUUGAGCUAAAGUGUAAUUUUUUAUGGAGUUAUUGUUUUUGCAUGAUUCUUAGUUGUUGAGUAUGGAUUCCACCAUUGCUUCUGUUGAUGAGUUGGAAUUUGUGUGUGAAAACCCAAAUCUCUAAAUAGAUUUGAUAGGUGAAAACCCCAAUCUCUAGAAACCUUUCAUUAUCCUUGAAAGAGGGAUUAAGGUGAACAUGAGGUAACCUAUAACAUCCUUAAAAAAGGGUUAUAGGGAGACAAGGAAAUGGUUGACAACUAAUCCUAUGGAUUACAAACUUUUGCAAUCUUAGAUAUAAGUGUAAUUGGAGUGUAAAUCAUGUCAAGAGCAUUAUCCUAGAAACAGAGAUGCUUGAUUGAGGUUAUGGGUGUUUACGAAUUGUACACUUUUUAGGUGCUCGAAAGACCCAAUGGGUGAAAUCAUUGUGGUUUUAUUGAAAGAUUGACCUAAAUGACUUUUGACCUAUCCUAUCCUUUAGUUAACAACUAAGCUUCAUGCUAAACCAUCAACAACCCAUAUGUUUUCCCUUUAGGUAGACAUAAUCCCAAGAUCUUCUUAAAUCUUGAUUUUUAAGCAAAAGUAUUACGUUCAUGCAUUGUUAGUCGAAAAUUGUUACAAACCAAUACCAAAUUGAAUCCCCUCAUUUUAUUUUACAUGUCGUGUUUAUUAUCAUUCCGGCUAACCUUUUAGUAAUUAGAGCACCCAUAGGACUUGAAAUUCAUAAUUUGCUCCAUGUAGAUUCGACCCCAACUCUAGUUGGGUUAUUGAAAACUACCACCUCACCCUUAAACGUGGGAGUGAGUUGAGCGUUAUCAAAAUGGCGACGUUGCCGGGGAGUGACAUAUAGAUUUUGCUUGUGCAGUGUGAUUUUUACUUCGGUGCACCCGUAUUGAAUUUAAUUUAAUUUCCUUGUUGUUUUUUAUCUUUGAUUAGGUAAACAUUAUUUUUCCCAAAUCAUUAUGUGUCACAAGGACUCGGAUUAUCUUGGGGUCGGAUAUCAUGAAAGUUCCAUUCGUAUUCCCCCCACCAAGGAGCAUGGAGUAUUUUAUGUUAAAAGUGUAAUAAUGCAAUUGCUCCACUUAAAGGGACUUUUCAAGGGUGAAUCCCUUGAAGACUCAAAUGCCCACUUAAAGGGGUUCAUGGAAAUUUGUGCUCUGUUCAAUGUUGCACAUAUAUCCCAAGAGUCUAUCUGGUUAUGCCUUUUCCCAUUUUCUCUCAUGGGAAAGGCAAUGCUAUGGCUAAGGUAUUUUCCCGCCGGAUCUAUUACUUUGUGGAAAAGUCUCACGAAGUCCUUCUUAUGUCAAUACUUCCCACCAUCUAAAAUGUUUAAGUUGCGUGAUGAGAUUGUCAUUUUUGCCAAUACCACAAAGAACCGUGGUACAAUGCUUGGGGAAGAUUCAAGGAAGUACUUUUAAAAUGCCCCUCCCAUAAGAUGCCGGAGAAAAUACUUCUCCAAAUCUUUAAUAGGGAAUUGGACUAACAAAAUAAGGCCAUAGUGGACAAUGCAUCCAGUAGAUCAUUCAUCAACUCGCCAGAUGGGAUUAUUUCAAAAGUCUUGGACCAAGUUGUAAUUUGGUGUAAGGGUUGGGACAUAGAGGAUGCUGAGGUGGACAUGGGGGCUCCCACCUCAUCCUUUAUGUACCACGAUCAAAAAGAUGAAGAAAAAGAGAUUGAUGUGAAGAUGGUCAAAGUGAUGUCAUCCCUCGAACUCCUACUUGAGCAUAUGUUAGGUGACCAAAUGGAAAGUGUAAGUGUGAUAAGUACAAAAGAAGUUGAACUUUGUGAAGACACAGAGGAGGAGAGGAUUGGUGACAAGUUAGGUAUGGUACCUAAGAGCUUGGAGGGUUUCUAUAUUGUACCCUAAGGAUAAGAAGGGAAUCAAGGUCAAAAUUGGGAAAGUCUAAGCAUGGUACANNNNNNNNNNNNNNNNNUGUUGAGAAGAAUAGUGAAAUGGUGAAUGAGAUGUGAAGUGAAUUCUCCAUGCUACACCAAAUGGUUACAUCUUACUCCAUCUCCAUCCAACUACUAGAGGCAAAAUUAGCCAAAUAUCAAAGUAUCUCAUGGAGAAGCAGAGUGAAGAAAUGUAAAAUGGGGAAGAGACAAAGGCGAAGAGAAAAAGAUUGAAUGAUAGAGAGCCAAAUUUAAGUGACUUAUUGAUAGGAAAGCCAAUAGUUAAUGAUUGUCAAAUAGUAUCUAUGCCAUUGAACCCCAUUCAUCCUUCUUUUCCAAAAUGGUCCUUGAGAAAGGGAGAGCACGAUAAGCUCAACAAGUUUUUCCAUAAAUUUCGUACACUCUCUAUUAAUAUUUCUCUUAUUGAGGCAUUGCAAGACAUGCCCAGAGAUGCUAAAAUUAUGAAGGAUUUGAUAUCAAAAAAGAGGUUUGUGGAGGAAGAAACAAUAGAAGUGACACAUCAUUGCAGUGAUAUUAUGACAAGCCUAUAUGUGUAAGAGAAAAAGGACCCCAAUUCUUUUACAAUCUCAUGCACCAUUGGCGCUCUCACAUUUGCUAAGGUAUUAUGUGAUCUUGGAGCAAGUGUGAACAUCAUGCUUUAUGCUAUAUUUUACAAGCUUGGAUUGGGGAAAACUAAAGUCAACAAAGAUGAAAUUUCUCAUGGCUAAUCGAUCCAUAAAAAAUCUCAUAGGAGUCCUCCAUGAUGUUCUAGUAAAAGUGGAUUGGCUCAUCUUUCUGCUCGACUUUAUUUUUUUGUAUUAUACAAUGGAUGUGGAAAUUACUAUUAAUUACCCUUGGGAGGCCAUUUUUAGCUACCAGAAAGUCUUUGGUAGAUGUGGAGUCCAGGGAGAUAAAGUUUAGAUUAAAUGAUAAGGAGGUAUCCUUCAAUGUGUGUAAGUCUAUAAAACAACCAAUGGACUUACAAGUCAUCUCGGUGAUUGAUGUUAUUGAUGGGAAAGUGUCAAACCAUGUUUAUGUGAGCUUGUUGAAUGAUCCUUUGGUUGGGGUGCUAUGGAAUUGUGAAAGAGAAGAAAUGGAGAAGUAUGAUGAGGUGGUAGCAUCUUUAACAGGGCUUGGGUUUCACACCAAGAACCCGGUUAAGUUGGAUCUUGGUCUAAAAAACUGCGGAAGUUCACCCGCAAAACCAUCCAUCCUUGAACCUCCCAAGGUCAAAUAAGUAUUCUUGGGAGAGGGUCAUACUUUACCAAUCAUCAUUGCUAGUGACCUCGACUCCCCUAAAGUAGAAGCAUUAAAAUUGGUGGUAAAAAAAUCCAUUUAGGCCAUUGUUUAGAUGAUAGAGAAUAUCAUCUAAAUAGCUCUUUCCAUUUGUUUGCACAAAAUUAAACUUGAGCAAGAUCACAUACCGAGUGAGGAACACCAAAGAAGAUUAAACCAACCCAUGCAAGAGGUGGUAAAAAGGAAAUUAUAAAGUGCCUUGACGUGUGAGUGAUAUAUCCAAAAUCCAAUAGCACUUGGGUGAGCCCGGUACAAUGUGUUCUGAAAAAAGGUGGUAUCACGGUAUUUAAAAAUGAAAGAAAUGCUCUCAUCCCCGUCCAAUUAGUCACCGGAUGGUGAGUGUGUAUGGACUACCAAAAAUUGAACUUAUGGACCAAGAAGGACCAUUUUCCAAUGCCUUUCAUGGAUUAGAUGCUAUUUAGGCUUGUUGAGAGAGGAUGGUAUUAUUUCUUAGAUGGGUACUCUGGGCACAAUCAAAUUUGUAUCGCCCCGGAGGACCAAGAAAAGACAACUUUUACAUGACCAUAUGGUAUAUUUGCAUUCAAGAGAAUGCCCUUUGGGUUGUGUAUUUCCCCAACAACCUUUCACCAUUGCAUAUUGUCAGUAUUCAUGGAUAUGGUUGAAGACUCUAUGAAAGUAUUUAUGGAUGACUUCUCGGUAGUGGGGAACUCUUUCGAGUCAUCCCUCGAAUAUUUGAACAACGUGGUUGAAAGGUGCAUGGAAACAAACCCUAUCUUGAAUUGGGAGAAGUGCUACUUCAUGGUCAAACAAGGGAUCAUCUUAAGCCACAAAAUAUUAGGAAAGUGCAUUCAAGUCGAUCAAUCCAAGGUUGAGGUAAUUACCAAGCUCCCAUCUCCCAUUUCCAUAAAAGGUGUUCUAAGUUUUCUUGGCCAUGUCGGGUUCGACCGAUAUUUAAUCAAGAAUUUUUCCAAGAUAGUGCACCCCAUGUGUAUAAUUCUUGAGAAAGAAUCUAAAUUCCAAUUUUAUGAGGCAUGAUUGAAAGCUUUCGAACAUCUUAAGUAAUUGCUCACUUCUGCCCAUAUUAUUGUGGCUCCAAAUUAAUCAUCCCCAUUCGAGAUAAUAUGCAUGCAAGUGGUAUCCAUAAGGUGUGGUGCUAGGGAAGCACAAGGACAAGAUCUUUCAUCCUAUAUACUAUGCAAGAAAAACCUUGAAUGACACAAAAUGUAACUACACCAUCACCGAGCAAGAAUUAUUAGCGGUUGUAUAUGCCUUUGAAAAGUUUUAGGCUUAUUUAUUAGGCAUGAGAGUAGUGGAUCACAUAGAUCAUUCUAUCCUUAAGUAUCUCAUGUCCAAGAAAGAAUCAAAGCCACAUUUAAUUAGGUGGAUUUUGCUAUUACAAAAGUUCAACUUUGAGGUGAAAGAUCAGAAAGGGCGUGAGAAUCAAGUGGUCGAUCAUCUCUCUCAAAAUAAAGGAAACAAUGAAAGCAUAGGGAAAUAGAAAUUGAUGAACGUUUCCAUGAUGAAUUGAUCAUGUACAUUGAGUGGAAUAAUACACAUUAGUAUGCUGACUUUUCCAACUAGGUAACAAGUGGUAUACUCACCGAGGGACUGAGUUACCAUAAAAAAGUGGUUUUUGUUUAAUACAAAGCAAUGUUUUUGGGAUGAGCCAUUUUUUUCUUGAGAAUGUGCCGAUGGAUUUAUUAGGCGAUAUGUUAUGGAUAUUGAAAUAAAUGAUAUCUUGGAAGCUUGCCACUUUUCGCCUUACAACGAUCACCAUGGAGGAAUCCAGACUACCGCCAAGAUUCUCCAAUAUGGAUUUUAAUGGCCUUCCAUGCAUAGAUACACCAUUUAAUGGAUUAAAUCUUGUCAAAAAUAUCAAAUGCAUGGUGGUAUUUCAAGAAGGCACGAGAUACCCCUCAAGCCUAACCUUAAGGUGGCGCUCUUUAAUGUAUAGGGAAUUGAUUUCAUAGGUCCUUUUAUGAGUUUAUUUGGGAACAAAUACAUUUUAUUGGCAGUCAAUUAUGUCUCCAAAUAGGUGAAAUCCAUCGAACUCCUUACUAAUCAGAGAAAAUGUGUUACUCAUUUCGGAAAAAGCAUAUUUUCAUAAGGUUCGGUAUCCCUCGGGCCAUUAUUAGUGAUGGCAGCUCAUAUUUCUGCAAUUGGGUGUUUGGUGCUCUUCUUGAUGAGUAUGGGAUUAAGAAGAAAGUUGCCACUCCAUACCACCCCCAAAUGAGUGGUCAAGUGGAGGUUUUGAAUCAAGAAAUCAAGGCCAUACUCAAAAAGAUGGUGAAUGUAGGCCACAAAAAUUGGCAAGGCAACUUGAUAAAGCGCUUUGGGCCUAUAGAACUGCCUACAAAACCCUAAUUGGAAUGUCUCCCUAUCAAUUGAUGUUUGGAAAACAUGUCAUUUACCCAUCAAUCUUGAGCAUAAGUCCUUAUGAGCUUUGAAGAGGUUGAAUAUGAAUUGGGGAGAAGCAUCCAAGGCACGGGUGACACAACUCCAUGAGAUAAAGGAGUUUCGACUAAAGGCUUAUGAGAGUUCGGCAUUGUAUAAGGAUAAAAUAAAGAAAUGACAUGAUGUUCGAAUAUUACGGUUAGAAUUUCAUGUUGGAUAGACUGUAAUCCUCUACAAUUCCCGUUGAAACUCUUCACUAAGAAGCUCUGCGUAAAAUGUUCAAAACCAUUUAUGAUUUCUAUUGUUUACCCAAGUGGUGCCGUUGAAUUGGAAGAUAAUAAAGCGGAGAAAUUUGUAGUCUAUGGUCAAAGGGUGAAGCACUACAAUGACAAAAUCCCCAUGGUGGCCAAGGUGGAGUGUGUUGAAUUCAAAGAUGUUUGUAGUGAAAAGGAAGAGUCGUACUUCAACUUUAAAUUAGGGGCGGAGAUAGCCCUUCUUUAACUCAUCUUGUGUUUGUUUUGAUGUUUUGUUGGUAUUUUAACAUAAGCAAUGUUCCAAAAAAAUAGGGAAAAUAGAGCUAGAAAAAUUGGCAGUUGUGUAGAAAAUAAAAAAUAAUGGAAAAAUAGGGGAAUUCACUCUCAGUUACCAUGAUCGCAGCAAUGUGAUCGCAGACAUAUUGAUGCAAUCGCAGCAUUACAUUCCUACACUGCCUACUAUCUAUGGGAGAUUUUGCCAUCCCUUAUACUUCUUAAAUUCACUUCUGUGAGGGCACUUCAAGCCUUUGAGUUGGGGGUGUGGUAAGGCUACUUGGGUUUUCCUUGCUGUGAACGAACUUUCCCUAUGAUAGAUAGAGUGAUGACAUUCUUAAGGGUAAAGCAUUGUGUUUGGGUCUUGAUACAUACGUAUAGGGGAAUUUUAAGUUCCCAUAGCAUAAAUGCCAAGAAUGCAAGAAAAGUCUGAGUACCUGUGGCAUUGUAAAUUGUAAAUUUAGGGUCUCUUUGUAUGCUAUUGGCAAAGUCUGAGUAGCCAUAAGGUUAGUCUAUCAAUUUUGAGAAAAAAUAUGAGACUAAGGCUUUGGUUGUAGCAUAGUUGAGCAAAUUGUGCAUGGGGCUAAUGCAAAAAAGGAACGCCCCUCAAUCCAAAAUUAUUGAAAAGUUAGGGGCAUGGAUGUGAGCAAUGUUGUAACAAAACUUUUUCUCUUUUUGUGUAUUUAUUAAUUUUUGACUUGUGAAUAGAAAUAGAUACUCCAAUUAAGUCUCUAGAUGGAGGGACUAUUGAGUUACCUUAGCAAAUUUUCCAUGCCAUAUAUGGUGAGCUAUUUGCAUUCAUUUCUUGUAUACUUAUGUUAUCUAGAGCUUGCCUUGUUAGUCUUUCAAAGCUAAUUUUGUUUGUAGUUGGUUGGAGAAGUGAUCUUAGGCCAUCUUUGUGACUUUGGAACCCACUUUAACCUAAAUAGCCUAACCGUGCAUAAUUGUAAUCCCUAGUUGCCUACUUUAAGCCGUUGGACCUUUCAUUGGCAAACUCAUUACAAGUUGUGAACCAUUCUUUAUAUUCUUCUUUUGAACCAUUCCCUCCUUGAACUUGAAAAUGCAAUUUGUGGCUAAAAUCCUAAGUUAGGGGUGGUGAUAGUUGAUGGAAUUAAAUUUGGGGCCACGAAGUAUUUGUGAAAUGUUGAAUGCACCUUAGCAUUAAAAAUAAAGGAGUAAAAAAGAAAAUAUCCAAUAAAGGAAAUAAUUGCAUGAAAAUUGCAAGAAAAAGAAAUGAAAGAAAUGGGUGAACAAAGAAAGCAAAAAGUAGGCAUAAUAAAAGAGAGAAAACAAAAAAGUGUGGCCCAUAGUCAGAAAGGCGAAUUGAGGAGGGUGGCGUAAAUGUUCAAGGAUAGGUGUAACCAUGUUGUUCCCAAAAUGAUAUCCUACCCUAACCCAAAACUAUGUUACAAGCUUAGAAAGUCCUUUGAGAUCUCUGACCAUUUACUUUAGUUGUAGUGGCGAUUGAAAAUAAUGGAAAGCAUAUGGUAUGAUAUUUGUUGCACAGAGUUUUUUUGUAAGAGAGAGAGUUUUUGCACUUAAAUCUCUUGUUGCAUAUUUGGUAGUUAGGUGUACGGAAUUCUCUUUCUUGUGAAGAUGGCAUGUGAACAAGUUGAGUUGGGUGGCUUUGUUACCUCACGAACAAUGAGGCAAAAGAAGUAUAGCGUAGUUGUGGUCAAAAGGAAGCUAUUCCUAGGGUAUUACCUUUGUUACUUGGUUGCUCUUUAACGUCUUAUUCCUCCUUAGAUAUUGCAUUUAUGACGAGGGUUGAAGCGGAAAUAUCUUAGCACAUGUGCAAUGAUGUAAUUGUGGUGAUAACUAAAGUCAAUGACAUUGUGCACUUUAAGGCAUGAAGUUCGGGCAUAAAUAUUUAUCAUCUCAUGGUAAGAGGUAGUAUUUCUUGGGGACAAGUAAAAGCUUUAAGUUGGGGGUGUUGAUGAGUGGUAAUUUUACCGCUCAUUAUCACUUAUCAUUCAUGCACAGUACUUUUUUUGAAUGAAUCAAUGAGAUAUAAUUAUGAUUGAAUGCACUAAUAUCUACUCCUUAUAGACAUAGAGUUAAGAAGACAGAAAGAUGUGGAUCGGAUAUUAAAAUAAUCAAAAGGAAUCAAGAAAGUGCUACUAAUGAGUCAGGAUAGAAAUAGCCUCAGUUAUCGUAGUCGUAGUCUGAGCACCGCGAUCGCAAUAAGCUAAGUAGAGAAUAUAUAAAGCCUCGAGUAAUAUGACCACGGUCAGAGGAAUGCAAUAACCAUUUCUCAAGAUGUCCAACAUACCACAAUCCUCAAUUAUAGAUGCGAGUAUGGUUGUACAAUCGCAGUUAGUGCUCCAUGAUCGCGGAUCAGUGGGAUAAAUAAGAAAGAGCAUUGUGGUCAAGUCGGAUAGCUGAUUCAAAAUAGAAGAUCCAAAUACUUUUUGUAGAGGUAUGGAGAAAGUGAGAGAGAAAAAAAGGAAGAACCCUAGAAUUUUAGGCAAAAAAUUAAUUAUUUGUAGUUAUUGUAAUUAUUAUUCCAAGAGGAAAUUGGUGAAAUUGAAGUGUGGAAUUGAAGAUUAUUUUACCUUAUAUUAUUAUGGAUACCAUGGAAUAAUUACUUGGUAAAAUCCUUUUCCCCUAUCUCAUGAGUAGCUAAUUUCUUUAGUCUUGGGAUUAUGUUGAACUAAAGUAUAAUUAUGUGUCAGUGUUAUUAUGUUUGCAUGAUUCUUAGUUGUUGAGUAUGGAUUCCACCAUUGCUUGAGUUGAUGAGUUAGUUUUUGUAGGUGAAAACUCUAAAUCUCCAAAUGGGUUUGAUAGGUGAAAAUCCUAAACUCUAAAAACCCUUCAUCAUCCUUAAAGGAUGGAUUAAGGAGAACAUGAGGUAACCCAUAACAUCCUAGAAAGAAGGUUAUAUGGGAACAAGGCAAUGGUGGAAAAUUAGCCAUAUGGAUUACUUUCUUUUACAAUCUUAGAUAUAAGUGUAAUUGGAGUGUAAAUCAUGUCAAGAGAAUCAUCCUAGAAAUGGGGAUGGUUGAUUAAGGUUUUGGGUGUUUAUAAAUUGUACACUUUUUACGUGCUUGAAAGAGACAAUGGGUGAAAUCAUUGUGGUUUUAUUAAAAGAUUGACCAUUAUGACUUUUGACUGAGUCUAUCCUUUAGUUAAUAACUAAGCUUCAUACUAAACCAUCAUUAACCCACAUGAUUUACCUUUAGGUAGACAUAAUCCCAAGAUCUUCUCAAAUCUUGAUUUUCAAUAAGAAGUAUUACAUUCAUGCAUUGUUAGUCAAAAAUUAUUACAAACUAAUCCUAAAUUAAAUCCCCCUAUUUUAUUUUAUAUGUCGUGUUUAUUAUCGUUUUGAGCAACCUUUUAGAUAUUAGAGUACCCAUAGGACUUGAAAUUUAUAAUUUGCACCUUGUGGAUUCAACCCCAACUCUAGUUAGGUUAUCGACAAUGACCGUCUCACCCCUCAAUUAUGGGAGUGAGCUGAGAGUUAUCAGCCAUCCUAGUUCUACUAACAUGUACCAUGAUCUGAAGGCGAUCUAUUGGUAGAGUGGCAUGAAGUAGGAUGUGGUUGAUUUUGUGUCCAAAUGCUUAGCGUGUCAACAAGUUAUGGUUGAGUACUUGAGGCCUGGUGGGUGAUAUCAAGAGAUUAAGUUGCCUAAAUGGAAAUGGGAGGAGAUCAAUAUGAAUUUGGUUAAAGGUCUUCCUCAGUCUUGAAAUUUAAUUCGAUUUGGGUUAUUGUAGAUAGGAUGAUGAAGUUCGCGUAUUUUAUGUAUGUACAAACUAGCUUUUUGAAAGAGGAUUAUACGAAGCUUUUUCUUCAAGAGAUUGUGAAACUGCAUGGGGUGCCUAUUUUAAUUAUUUAUGAUUGGGAUAUAUAGUUUAUGUCCCACUUCUGGUGGUCUUUCCAUAAAAGGUUGGGGACUUAGUGAGCCUGAUUACGGCUUUGUACCCGUAGUCAGAUGGGCAGGCAAAAAGAACUAUUUAGACAUUGGGAGAUAUGCUUCGAUCUUGUAUGAUUGAUUUUGCUAGUAGUUGGGCGAAGCAUCUACCUUUGGUAAAGUUUUCUUACAACAAAAGCAAUCAUAAGAGUAUUGUUAUGGCUUCUUUUGAGGCAUUGUAUAGUAGGAGGUGUAGAUCUCCUAUUAGUUGGUUUGACCUCAGCGAGGUUGAUUUGUUUAGUCCAGAUUUGGUUUGUCAAUCUAUGGAAAAGGUGAAGGUUAUUCGGGAUAGGCUCAAGGUUUCCCAGAGUCGUCAAAAGUCAUAUGCAGAUGUUAGGCAUAGAUAUUUAGAGUUUGCAGUUGGGGAUAAGGUUAUCUUUAAGGUGUCUCUUUUGAAGAGAGUAGUGCGGUUUGGCAAAAAGGGAAAGCUUAGUCCUCGGUACAUUGGUCUUUAUGAGACUUUGGAGAGAACGAGAAAUGUAUGAGUUAGAGUUGCUAUCUAGUUUGAGUUUGGCUUAUCUGGUAUUUCAUAUUUCUAUAUUGAGAAAGUGUAUUGGUGAUUGUCUUCAAUUGUGCCUUGGGAAGGGUUGGAUAUCUCAAAUUCUUUAUCUCAUAAAGAGGUCCCAGUUGAGAUAUUGGAUAGGUAGGUUCUUCGGUUGUGGACCAAGGAUGUGGCUUUGUUUAAGGUUCUAUGGUGGAACCACAAGGUGGAAGAGGCCACGUGAGAAGUAGAAGAGGACAUGAAUUCCAAGUAGCCGCUCUUGUUUUCUGCUUUUAAUAUUCGUGCUGAGGGUAUAUGUUCUUGACAGAUCUUUAUUUUCUAAUUUUGUUAAAGGAAAGAUUAAUAUCUUUGCUUCUUUGCUUUUAAACUUUGUUAAAGGGAUGUUUGAUAAUGUAAAUAACUCUGUGUGUGGUUACCCCUACCUUACCCGUCAUUUAGGGAUGAAUGUUCCUAGGGGGGAGACUGAAAGGUUUUGGCCCUUAGAAAAUUUCUAGGAAUCUCAUUAUUUGGACCCAUUACGAUUCAUGGUACGAGCCUUAAGCUGGGGUACCAGUGGUAAAGACCUAUCAUAAGCUGACUAGUGUAAGUUGGUGGGAUGGUCUUGGACAAUGGAAUGGAUACAACUUAAGGGUAUGAGUCGUAAGGCAGGGGUACGAGUCGUAUAGGUGACUAGUAAAGUGGUCAGUAUUUGAUCCUCCCAGUGGUACAUUCUACCAGGGAUAUGGAUCGUAUGCUAAGAUUGUGACUUGGUUGGAUGAGUCGUAUACUAGACAGUGUCUAAUCCAUGGUUGAGGAUUGGUUACGAUUGGGUGGGUAUCAAUCAUAAGCUAGGUUAUUACUCGUAAAGAGGGUAGUCAUAACCCUGUGUCAGGUUUUAAUGGGAUUUAAGUGGGAGUAUUCUGGACAUUUCCCUACUUUCCCUAAUAAGGACCCAUGACUUCUAAUACACUUAGGAGGUUAUUUACCUUAUCACUUUAUUCUUAAACACUUACAAUCUCAUCCAAAACAUAUCAUAGUUCUCUUAAGAAAUUUUAGGGCAAAGAGUUAGGGUUUCAACUAAGGGAUUACUUUGGGGCUUGUCUUGGUGAAUUCAGUCCAUCAAUCUUCUUGGUUUAAGGCAUGAUUCUUUUCUCUACUUAUAAUUUCAAUUAAAGGCAUGGUUAUAUGGUUGAUUUCAUGGUUUUUACUUUUGCAUGGUUUUGGUUUUCAAUCAUUAAUUUAGGAUUUUUGAAGUCAAAGGCUUGGUUUUGAUUUCUUAUGGUUUUAACUAUGCUUUCUAUGCAUUAAUGGUGGUUUUGGAUAAUGGAAUUGGAUGGUGAUGGUUUAACGAUAAUGGAAUUUAGUUUUGGUUAUACUAUUCCCCCAAGGUGUUUGAUUAAAUGCUUAUAAAGAUAUUUUAUUACAUUGACUCUUUUAAAAGGGAACUCUUGCUUGUUUUCAGCUUAUGCAUGAAACCAUAAAUAGCUUAAAUGGUUUACAAAGGUUAAAUGUUAAUUGGUUAUGCUUGUGGAGAACAUGGUAGUCUCCCAAGAGGUUAAUAUGGUAAACAGAAAGGGCACCGAGAGUCCACUAAAUCUAAGUGGUUUGGCUAUGGAUAAUGCUUACAAGUAUAGUUGUAUCACAAUACCAAUGGUUUAUCAAGUAUCCAUGUUUUAUAAAUGGAUAAUUGGACUGUUUGGACUUGGUUUUAAUUAGGCAUUAAUGGCAAGGAGUGUAAGCUAAGCCGUGAAAAGUAGCGAUCACAGGGUGAUCAAAAUUAGAAACUCAUAUUUGCCGAUAUGAGGGGUCUUCAAUGUCCAUAUGCAAGUGUUAUAUUCAUAUUAGAGGAAUGUACUAGUCAUCCCAGGGUUAUUGCCUGGUCAUGCAUCUACAUGUACUAAACCCUUUCAGCAGAAGGAGGUGAACCCAUAUGGCCCAUGGGUGGUACGACGGUUAAGCUUUAGACCCAGGUUAAGGUUCUAAAUGGCAUUCUACACCCCUUUCCUUAUCCCAACACUUACAUAUAUGUAUGGUUGUUUGCAUUGGAUGUUUUUCACUUGGUUUUGAAAUGGAUUUACAUUAUCCUUAUCCUGAGAUUCGUGCUAGUAUUCACCCACUAACCCAUCUGUUAGAAAUUACAUACUCACGCUAUGCAGGAAUUGAACGUUUGACUCCUCCUUCAUAGUACUUGAUUCUGGGAUAGCUUAUUAGAUUGAAGUGGUGAGAUUCCAUCCUUUCGGAAGGUAUCAUUUCAUGUUUGAUAUUCUUAGACUUUUAUUUUCUUUUCAAAUAUUAGUUUUGGCCAUAGUUGGGGGGCAUGUCUCAACCAGCUAUUUGUAUUCUUUUGGAUAGAGUUUUUGUGGCACUUCAAGGGUUAGAAUGGGCGGGAUUGAUAUAGGUGUAAGCCUUGGCAUUAGAAUAAAGUAGGAGGCUGGCAUUAUCAGACAUAAUUUCUCACUGUUCUAUCAUAUUACUUUUUGGGUUUGACUUUCAUAUUAUGUUUUUUUAUCCUCUUUGGUUUGGUAUGGUAUGGAUGGUUGGUUUGGUAUGGACAGACUUGAUUGGGACGGUCAUGGUUGUGACCUUAUCCUAAAUUCUUCAUGAGAGCAUUGCACAUGAAGUGGUUGGAUUGGGUUAAGGGGGUGGUCCCUGGUCCUAGGUGGACUUGGGAUGCCCAUUAUGACAAGGCCGCGGUCUAAGUUGUGUUACGAAAGCUAUAUCCCCAUGCAACAUAGGGGCAGAAGCAUUAUCUUCUCUUCCUGCACAGUGAUUAGAUGAUCAAAGCAGUUUGUGCAUUGACUUUGGAGUGAUGAUCUUCUUUUCUUCGAAAUACAUUUAUCCUUUGUCUCUUAUCUUUAGACUUAGUCAUUUUUUACUUGGUUUAGCUAUUGUUAGGGGCUUGUCCCAACAUAUACAUUUCUAAAAUCCGGUUUGUAUAGAGCUAUUGUGGAUGACUGUGGACUUGGGUAUAUUGGUAGUUGAUAAGCCUAAUGAAGCGUUUAGAUAUGUAUAGGUUAUGACUUAUAGUAUGUUUUCCUUUGUCUCAUUAUAUGGUUGGGAUUUACCCAACCCAUGUGAUUGAUGUAAUAAUUGUGAAGGGUUAUAGGGCGACCUUUGGAUCAUGUGGGCUGGAGGUUCCCAUACGACAUGGUCUGGUCUUGAGGCGUGUUAUAUGUGUUUGGUAGAGUUCGGCAGAUCUGUGCAGAGAUAUCCAUAUCCUAUCUUUGGGAGGCUACAAUGACACUUAAGAAAAUUUACUUGUUGACUCUAUAUCAUAUGCCCACAUUCCUGUGAACCUCAAACUUAUUCUUUGACUCUAUUCUAUCCCCGAAGAAUGAUACGACAACGUUGACACAUGUGAAUGAGACUUCAAUAUGUAUUUCUAGAGUUUUAGCACAACGUUGAACUAAAAAGUUAGAGAUGCAUAUUGAAGAUCUUCAGUGGAAAAGAAAAAAAAAUUGGGCCAACUUAGGCUCCAACAGAGCUUGUGACUACUUCAGCCUUUAAGGUUUAGCAUUGGACAUUUGAAUCUUAUUGUAGAUCUCUUUCACCCAUGGAUAACAUUUGAUUCAUUGAGUAGUUCUUAGACCUGAGUUGGGUCUAUUCGUGUACAUCAGGGUUCUCUACUAGUAUUAAGUAUGAGAUUGGAUUUCUCGUGUUGUCUAGGCAUUUUCCUAUGUUAUAUCCUUCUAAGAUGAACAUUGGUGCAUGGAUGUAUUAAAGGGUUAGUAUUGUCACCCAUUUGGCAUUGAAGCACUUGAUAGGAGCCAAAUCUUCCUUUCCUCAUGUUAGUGAUUAUGAGAGAACCAUAGAGAGCACAAGUAUUGAGACUUACAAAAAUAAUGGCAAGAGGCAUGCCAUCAGGUUAGUGUCAUUGGUAUUUUAUUCGAGAGUGAGGAUUUUUUUGGUAGUGUUCAACUUCACCUGCAGCCCAUCAUCUCUACGCAGAGAGUAUUCCAUACUAUGAGUUAUUCUCAGAUUUAUCGUGAUGAUUAUAAUGGUGAGAGUUCCCAUCAGACUUAUAGAGUGUGGUAUGGUUCUUUCAGAUUAUGGAGACCAUUAUGUAUUAUGAAGGGCAGUAUCUCAAACCAUUCCAAGACAUUGGUUUGGUUGUGUCAUGAUAAGACACAAAUUUAGAGAAUGCCUUGGUAUAAGAUAGAUGAUCAACUAGAGUUAGCAUGUAUUCCCCGCCAGGCUAUAGUUCCUAAGACAGGAUGUGAUUUUAAAAGUACGGACAUAAUUUUGCAGAUUUGUCUCAACGUCAGUUGGCCAGCUAUUUGGGCGUAAUUUUUAUUCUCUCCUUGUUGAUGCUUCAGGACUUGCUACAACCACAGAGACACCGACUCCUAGACUAGAGAGUGUCCUCGAUAUGAGAUUUUCUUUCAUUCAGCUUAUUCAGAUUAGCCUCAUAAUGUUGUGGCAUCUUUAGUUAGAGAUAUUAUCUGUGGAACCUCUAUUGAUGAUUUAGUCAGUUAGUCUGAGUUGGACUCGUCCAGAUUUGUUUUUCUCUAUGCCCGUCAGGCAUGUGAUUGCGAAUGUCACCACGAUUGGUAUGUUUUUAUUUCCCGCCUUUAUCUCUUAUUAUGUGUAUUGAAGUUUUUAUAUCCAUUGAUGAUUGUAUGCCUUGAUGAAUUGAUAUCGGCCAUAAUAUGCCUUAUUUUUAAAUUCAUGAGUAUGUUACUACUCCGUGGUUUAUUUCUUUUAGUAGUGGAUGGACUAAAUCUAUAUUGAUGUUUUCCCCUAUAGGUGUGGCUUUUGGGUUCGAGUCCUAUUUAUUUUGGCACGUUAGCCCUAUUAUACCCUUUGAGUGGUACAUGAUAUUGAUGUUCAUUUUGGUAUUGCAUAUUUAGUAUAUUGAUAUUGUUGUAGCUAUUGAUACCACUAUGUAAGGUUAUUGAUAUUACUUGAUAUUAUUACUUGAUGUUAUUACUUGAUGAAUUUGAUUCUUACUAGCUAGCUGUAUAGACUAGUAUUAUCUAGUUAUACUUUCAUUUUCUUGUGACAUUAUUUUGUGGCUUGAGUAGAUAUAGCCUGAUUUGAUGAUUUCUUUCUCCUACCACGAUAAAAAUGACGGUGUUCCCUCUUGGUUGGCUCUAUUAGAUUGAUUCAGGGAUGUAUUGUGGUAUCGAAAGUAAGUUGACCUUGUAUAGUUUUGUGUGGUUUUUGAGUUUUCAAUUUAGUUAUGUUUCCUGUUAUUGAGUUUGAUAUUUAUAGACUUACCUCUGGGGUUGCAAAGGCUUUUAUUUUGGAUAUCCCUUUCUAUAUAGCCUGUGUAUGAAAUUGACCAUUCCUGGUCCGUUAUUUGGUUAUGACUAUGUCAUCGUUCGAUAGUAGUUUUGAGAUUAAGAUAUCAUAGAUCCACAUCUUAGAUUUGUUGGGUUAUUUCCCUUGUGAUGGUUUUUCCCUGUUAUUAGCGUGAAGAUUGAAUGCUCCUUUCCUGCGAUAAGGUUUUGACUUAAGUAAAGUUAUAAAGUUAGACGCACAUGGCCUUUCCUGUGAUCGCUUCUUAAGUUUGCAAAUUGUAAAUUCUUCAUCUUGAGUUGUUGAUUUUCUAGUGAUGGUCUUGAAUUUGACCUUGGUUUCGAGAUUGGUAUAUUUCUACUAUGAUGAUGUGAUUCUUGGAUGGAUCGAGUGGUGAUUGUUCUACUUGGGCAGAUUUGGGAAAUCCCUAUUUCAGAGUUUAUAUGACCUAAUGAGGCUUGGUGGAGUCUUUCUCCUUGAUAUGUGCAUGUGGCUUUUCUUUAGUGAGAUGGUAUGUUAGAUUGAUUAGUUGUUGUUUAAAGUUGCAUUUCUCCGAGUCGCUAGCAUUUUUGCCAAUACUAGUGUGGUUUUCAGCCUUGGGAAGUUUUUAAGUAUGUUUGGAUAGUUUAUGCCCUCCAGCAAAUAUGGCGUGGAUUAUUUGUAUUUUUAGCCAGUGAUUCAUCCUUUGGCAUGAUUUCGAUUUUGUGGCUAUAUUCCGCACCCUCUAGCUGAGAUAGAGUUGGUUUCUUGUAUUUUCAGUCAGUGGUUAUCUAUAUGGUGAUUUUAGUUCUUUAGAUAUGUCUCAACGGUGGCUCGGUAUGAUUUACCUUGGAUAUGUUAGAUUUGGAUACUAAAGUCAAUUUGAGAUAGUUGACAUUGAUAUAGCCUUAUUGGCUCAGUUUUUUAUUUGACGCCUUGGCAUGGAAAUUUAGAAGUACGAUAAAUUUAGAAUAUAAAUGCCUACCCAUCUUAUGGUUAGGUUUUGGUGGCUAAGCCCGGGUGAUUCAGCCUUUCUGUUGAGAUUUCAGCUUGGUGUUGUAGAUCUUGUGUGCAUCUUUUGUUUUAGACAGUUCAAAUUUCAUUUAUUGGCUGGUUGAGCCUACUCCAUAGAUUGCCUAUUCGAUUUCAUCGACUUCUGAUGGAAUAUGGUGAAUAAGUAUUUAGAUAACAGCCCAUGGACCCAGUAUUGGUUCUUUCAAUUUUAACCCUAAGCCUCUAAAUUUCUUUGGGAAUUUUGGAUGAUUUACUCAAUGGGAGUAAUAUACUCGAGUUGGAUCAAGUAUGACUUCAUUCUCGAUGAAUGAGACAUUAUGGAGUGGAAUACUCAGUGAUGAGUAGUUAUACCUUGGAUUAUGAGAUUUCAAUUUGAUUUUUAUCUGGAUUGGUUGACGCAUUGGCACGGAAUUCAUUCCUUGCUUAUCUCUAUUUGUAUGCCUAGAUAGAGCCUUAUGAGCUUAUUCUCAUGCUUGCCAUUUUAACUUUCAGCAGGCCAGCUUCAGUUAUUUGAGUGCUCUGAGGUGAGAUUGUAUGGAUAGGACUCGGGUGAUUCUUCUCCUGGUUUGGAGUAAAUAGCAAGUGUAGAAUGGUAAAGGUUAUGUUUGGAUUUAGAAUUAGUGGCAUGACUCAUGUCUUGUGUUGCUUUGGCUUGGAUGAUCCUUUGUUAAUUUAUGAGGAUAUAAAGAUGGUAUCAGUGUGUUAUGGUUGAGUUGAUUUUUUGUUGUUUGGAAGUAGAAUGAGAGUAAUGGAUGAAAAAGGGAUUCUUGUGGAAAAAUCCCUUGCAAGUGUUCUUUCUUUGAUUAGGUUACCUGGGAAGUCAUGUUGGAAGCAUGAGGGCCAGUACCUCAUCCAUUAUAGCUUUUAAGAUUAUUUCUAUCUGUUGACUUUUGGGGAUGAAAGUCCUUUUAGUAGUGGAUAUUGUAAUGACCCUUCCAAUAAUUUUUCAUAUUUCCACUUAUUUUUGCAUUUGAGAUUCUCCAUAGCUCCACUAAGUCAUUUAUGAUUUACUGGGACUGAUGGUUCAGUUACUGGGAAGUUCGUUUGGUUUUUAGAAUCAAUUCUCCAUUUAGAAGUCUACACUGGUUCAAAAUGGCCACUGAGUGAAUAUUUCAGUCAGACAAUCUCGGAUACGAAUUCUGACUGUGCCAGCAGAUCAGAAAUAUCAAUUUUAGGCAAGGUACACCUUUGGUUCGGGACCCGAUGCACCCGAGCUUAUUUCAACCUAUUAAUCAAAAAGUUAAAAAUUUGUAAGUUUAGGUGUGGGAGCCACAUUUGGUCAAAACGGACUUGGAUUGAAAAUUUGACUUCACCAACAAGUCUGAAAUGUCAAAUUUAGUAUGGUUACAUAUUUCAUUUGUGAAAAUCGAAUUCCAAAUGAAUCCUGAGGCAUCAUUGGAAACUUGGAAAUUUUCUAAGUUUUGCUGGUUCUGGUGCCUCGACAAUCGUGGUAUGGAGGAUGCGAUUACGGAACUGCUAAUACGAUUUGAGCAUCAGCGAUCACGGCAUCUCGUUACUUGGGAGGUAUAUAAAUAAACCCCAUAGUUGCGAUUUCGGUCAUUUUCACUUCACCCUUGAGAGCUUAAAACCCUAAAUAGGUAGAUAACUCAAAAUUGAUCAUGGUGGGUGUUGCGGGAGCUUGUUUAUCAUCUUUUAUCACGAAUGUCUUCGAAUUUAUGGUAUGAAUCCUUUGAAUUCAUACUUGGAUUUGUUUGUUUGGACCCAAAACCCCAAUUUGGCUUAGGGCUUGAUUUUAGCACAAAGUUUACUUUGUUUGCACCCAUUUCUUGGUGGUUAUGAUUCCUUGUUCAUGUAUAAACAUUUGUUGACCUCAAAAAUUCAUUUUCCGUAUGUCGGACCCACUGGGGUUUUUGGUGUUGUUUUUAGACCCGAAGCACAAUAGUGCAAUAUGGGUAUCAUUAGACUUGUACUGAUGAGUAGAUUAUAUUUCUGGUAGCAUGAUGGCAUUUUGGGGAUUGUGAAGUAAAGUCGAGCAUGUGAUGUAUGAUGUGUGAUUUAUAUAUGUGUGUGAAUACAAAUGUUAAGAUUUAUUAUGGAUAGAAUGACUUAGCCUUGAUUAUUGAUGUUUGGGGAUUAUGUAAGGGGUUUGAACCCCUAAGAUGGUAAGUUUAUGACCUUUUAGAAUCCUUUUGCCUUAUCCUUAGUUUAGACUAAUUUGUAGCAUGGAUUUGAUAUAAUACAAGGUUUGGAAUAUGGUUUUAGCAUUAGAAGCAUGAUUAGUAUAUUUAAUCUUCUUGGGCUAGUGUGGUGAAAUUGAGAUUGUAAUUUGGGUAGAUUUGGAUUGAAUACCCUUGUUUCUAGAAGAAGUUCGUAUCUUAGUCUUGAAUAUGGCUUACUUGACAUCUAAAAGUUGAACUAGAUACCUUAGCCGAGUUUGGGGUAUACGUACAUAAAAAUGGGAAUUGAGGAUUAGAAGUGGGAUUGUCUGGCCCACUUAGGCCAAGACUUAUGUUAACCUUAUGGACUUAGCUACGGAUGUUAGGCGUAGUUGAAAUUAGUAAAACCUUAGUAUAAGGUUACUUCGUGGCCUAUUGAAUGAUGAUGUACUUUCCCUGGAUAGUGAUGUUUGGGCCUAUAGAGAUGCUAUUUCAUUUUUGAUAGGAUGUUUGGCCUAUAGAGAUGAUAUUUCCUCUUAGAUUGAUAUUUGGCCAUAGAGAUGUUAUUUCCCCCUAGACUUGAUUGUUGGGCCUUUAGAGAUGACUUUUCUCUUAGUUAUGAUUAUCGAGCCUAUAGAUAUGACUUUCCUCUUAGUUAUGAUUAUCGGGCCUAUAAAGAUGACAUUCCUCUUAGAUAAGAUAAUUGGCCUUGAGAGGUGACAUUCCUUAAUGAUGUGAGAUGCCUUCUAGACGUGAUAUGAUUAUAUACUUAUUUUUAUUAUACCUCUUAUAUGUUAGAUGCCUCCUAUAUGUGAGAUGGUUAGAGAUAUACUAAGCCUUACAAAUAUGAUUAUCGAUAUGAGUUUCGGAUAUGUAUAUAGGCCGAAGGCCGUGAUUAUGAUGUUGUGAUUAGUCCGGACAUAUCCUUGGGCCGAAGGUCAUGUUAUGAUAUGGGUUAGAUAUCCGGUAAGUUGUUAUCCUUCUAAAGGAUGAGGUUACAGUUUAUAAGGAAGUUGUGGUAUGACGCUUAUUAUUCCACUGAUUGAAUAUUGGUGAUGGCAUGCAUAGAUUUGGUACAUUCAUGAUUAUUACAUCGGUAAUUGAUGUGAUUCUAGCUAAAAAUGAUCUUAUGACAAUUCUUCUUAAUUAAGGGUUAAGCUAUGUGGUAGCUAGUUGUCUAUUAGGUGACUGUAGCAUCUAUUAUCAUGUCGAGUAUCAUCUAAUAGAUUUUCCUUUUCUAAGUUAAUUAGUGUUUCAAAAAUAUGGACAACCACAAACGGUGCAGAUAUCACCGUUGAACUUCUGCCAUCAUAAGGUUUUACUAUUUCUCAUGAUGAUAGCUCAGUCAUUGCUUCACCUUUCAAGAGGAAAGCUGAAAGUGAACCGGUUACCAAUAAAGAUAUUAAAAACCUUUUUGAACAAUAUAUCUAUCCAAAUAAGUAUCUUCAUACUUUUAGUGACUAUUUGAUUUCAAAACCAUCUCUAGUUCUUAAACCAUCAGAGGUGUCCACUUCUUCCUCUCCAUUAUUCAACCCUUACGAGAUUCAUAAAACCUUUACUAGGGAACUUCAAAUGCAUAAUUCAAAAUAUUUUCCACAACUCUCUGACCUUCAGCAAUGGAUCACACAAAUUGAGAAAUCUCAAAUCCUAUAAUUCCUGAUACCCUCGGUGUUGCCUCAUCUGCUACAGUUGGGGUACUCCAAUAGAGAAAUUUAGAGAACAGGCAGUCGGAGGAAGAAUCUCCUCUUGAAAUAGCCCCUAUCAAAACUGAAUCUUGUAGUUGGCGUAAGCCGCAAGAACUUUAUUACGCUAGAGGUACCCAUCCGGAUGUAGCAUUAGAGGAGAUACCUAAUUUUAUGCAAAAUAUUUACAACGGCAAUAAUAUUUAUGAAUGGAACAUAGAUGGCUAUUCUGCGUAUAACAUUCUCUCCAAACUUCAGCAGAUGAUAAUGGCUGCCACUGCCUAUAGAAUUGCCCAUAACGUCUUGCAUCUACUUCCCAUAUCCUUGUAGCUGGAUUCAUAGGCCAGCUUAAAGGGUGGUGGGAUACCCAUCCUAGUGAUAAAGAUAAACAAAAUAUCUUCCGAAGUAUCCUAGUUGACUUAUAGGAUAACCAAUUCUUAAGGAUCGAGAAAUCAUUCCCGAUUCUACAAAUGCAUUAAUUUACACUAUUAUCAAAACUUUCAUAGGUAGUCCAGGUAUUUUUAGAGAAGAUCCUCUGAAAUACUUGACAAUCUUAAGUGCAAAACGCUUUCUGAUUUUAGGUGGUAUAAAGAUUCUUUCUCAUGAGAAUCUAUGUAAGACCUGAUGUAAAUCUCCAAUAUUGGGAAGAAAAAUUCCUAGAUGGAUUACCUAAGUCUCUUAGGGACCUAUUCAAGAAUAUCUUCAAAACCAAUACUCUAAUGAUAUCAUCCCUUAUGAGUAAAUCACUUACGGUCUGUUUACAAGUCUAAUCCAACAAGUUUACCUACAGAUUUGUCGAAAAGAUAAGAUACUAAGGUAACUAGCUAAAGACAUGGCUUAAACCCGAUGAGAUUUAGGAAGUUUUUGAGAACAAUUCGGCAUACCCCCUUAUAGGAAGAAGGCUUAUAGAAAACCAACCUCCGAAAGGGAAGUUUCUACUACCAAGCUUGAUUUUUCCAAAAACCAAAAUCUUAUCAUCCUAAAUGGAGUCCAAUGGCAAAACCAACUCUUCUUGUCUCCAAUAAUGGCAAAUGUUAUAGGUGUAGAAAACCUGGUCAUAUUGCCAAAUAUUGUAAAUUGUCUAAAUAGGUUAGAAAUCUUAACCUUGAUGAUUCUGUUCUCAGCCAAAUCCAACAUCUCUUAUUAGAAGAAAAAAAGAUUCCAAUAAUGAUAAUGAUGAAUUUGAACAACUAUUCAACCAAAUCAAAAAUGAUGACUUGGAGUCCUCCUAGUCUGACCAAGCAGAUCAACCUAAGAUCCAUGUUCUACGAAAAGAACAAGAUCUUCUCCUAUAAAUAAUUAUCAAUUUGCAGAAUUUUGAUCAGAAGAAAUAUUAUCUAGAAAAAUUUCAAAGAACUCUAGAUACGCCUUCUACAUCUUUGUCAGGUGCAUUUUCUCAUCCCCAGAUUGCAAAUACUUACAACAUCACUGACAUUCUAAAUAGAUUUCUAGUAAAACUAGGUCUGUAACUACCAACAUCUCCAAACUGAAAUAGUACUCCUUAUAGAUAAAGUUAGGGAGAUAAAAUCUAGACAAAACUUAGAUCGACUUGUCCUGCAAUAAUUUUUUGCAAAGGCUGAACAGUCUCAGCCGAUAGACGUCACCGAUACAGUGGAUCAAGAAGUGUAACAAGGAGAUUUUCUUGUUCAAUAUAUUAUAAGGAUAUCCUUCAAGGGAUGGAAUACUCUAAUAAUCUUGAUCAUCAACAAGUCAUUUAUCCUAGAUAUCAUUGCCUUGUUUGAUAUAGGUGUCAAUCUCAAUUGUGUCCAAGAGGGACUUAUCCCUACUAAAUACUUUGAAAAAACUAAAGAAGCGCUUUGAAAUGCAAAUGAUAGCAGAUUAGGAAUUAGUUACAAACUUUCCAAUGUUGAAAUACAAAUUUCCCUAGGAAAAUCUCUUUUGUCACCCUCUACCUCCUUUGUUCUAGUAAAGGAUAUAACCAGUCCUAUAAUACUAGGUACUACAUACAUCGAAACUCUCAUCCCUUUUCAGGUCACUCAUGUGGGAAUAACUAUUGAAGAAAAAAACAUGUUUCUCCCAUUUGACAAACCUCCCAUCAUAAAAGUUUUUUCUUUUUUUGAAAACAAAGAGGCUUAACUCAAUUUCCUCAAAGAAUAAAUAACAUUUGGAAGGCUACAGCAACAGCUUUAGGAAUCAUCCUUUAAAUCUAAGGUCAAGGCCUUAGAAACAAAGAUUGAAAGAGAACUAUGUGCUGAUUUAGCCACAGCAUUCUAGAAUCUCAUAAAACACAUCGUCAGGCUUCCUUACGAACCAAACUUUGUUGAAAAAACUAUCCCAACCAAAGCCCGACCGAUUCAAAUGAAUCAUGAAUUGAUAAUCCAUUGCCAGAAGAAAAUCAAUGAUCUUCUUCAAAAAUGGAUUAUCUCGACAAGAAAAUCACCUUGGAGUUGUGCUUCUUUUUAUGUCAAUAGAAAUUUUGAAAUCGAACGAGGAGUACUUCAUUUGGUUAUUAACUAUAAACUUCUAAAUACUGCCCUUCGAUAGAUUAGGUAUCCUAUUCGAAACAAAAAAAAAUUUGCUCCAACGGCUUUAUGCUGCUAUAAUCUUCUAAAAAUUUAAUCUAAAUAAGCUUUUUGACAAAUCCAAAUUGAUCCCACAGUACCAUUUGGGAAAUAUGAAUGGAACAUAAUGCCCUUUGGCCUAAAAAAUGCCCCUUUACAAUUUUAGAAAAUAAUGAAUGAUAUUUUUAACCCUUUUUAAAAAUUCUAUAUUGAUGUUGUCUUACUAUUUUCCACUAGCAUUGACUAACAUUUUAAACAUUUAAGAGUUUUCUUCAAUAUUAUCUAGGAAAAUGUCUUAGUUUUGUCCAAAACUAAGUAUAGUCUUUUCCAGGUCAAUAUUAGAUUUCUCGAGCCCAAUAUCUAUUAGGGUACUGUUACCCCGAUUCAACAGUCCAUCCAAUUUGCUGAUAAAUUUCCUAAUAAGAUCCUUGAUAAAACUCAACUCCAAAGGGUUUUAGGAUGCGUCAAUUAUAUAGAAGAUUUUAACCCCGGACUUAAUAAUUUAUUAAAACCACUCCAAGAUAGAUUGAAAAAGCCUCCUCCUCCGUGGACUAACAUCCAUGCUAAUGUAGUCAAGGAAAUCAAAUUGAAGGCAAAAGACAUCCCUUGCCUAUCCCUCCUUGAUCCUUUAGCAUUCAAAAUAGUUAAAAUAGAUGCAUCAAACAUAGGCUAUGAUGGCAUUUUAAAACAAAAUAAAAAUGAUAAAAAAAUAUAUAUAUAAUUGCAUUUGCAUCCAAACAUUGGAAUAAAUCCCAACAAAACUAUCAAACUAUCAAAAAAGAAAUUUUAGAGAUUGUGUUCUGCAUUUUUAAAUUUCAAGAUGAUUUGUUAAACUAAAUUUUUUUACCAAGGAUAGAUUCUAAAGCUGUAAAAUCUAUUUUGCAAAAGGAAAACAAAAUCGAUCCUCCAAGCAUAUAUUUGCUAGGUGGCAAACUAUUUUAUCUAUUUUUUAUUUUGAUAUUGAAUAUAUAAAAGGGAGCUUCACCUCUAUACCAGACUUUCUUACUAGGAAAUUCUUGCAAGGAAGAUAAAAAUGCCCAAAAAAAAAGAAAGAAGAAACUAUGUGACAAAUUUCGGCUCGUCCAUCCCCAGAAGAGACCACCCAAAAAGUUGUUACCCAUAGCAAAAAACUAUGGUUGCAUCCAAGAAACUUUCAACAAUAGCAGCUGAAGCAUAUCAACAAAGAUAUCAAACCCCAGCUAAUUAUGUCAUGCAGGGAAUACCUCAAUCUUUUAUGAUGCAAGCAAGUCCAAAUCCAAUAUCAAUUUCCAAUUCCAAGAAAUGGGCUGAUUUAGUUAAAGAAUAAGAAGAGGCUCAGUUAGCCCAAUCAGUUUAUAUCCCAUGGAUAGAAUAUGAUUUUAAACAAUGGCUCUUACUCAUGGGUCUUAAAGAUCUGACGACCAUGACAGGUGCCAACAGAAAGGAUUAUCUAAGAGAUUUUUAAAUCUUCCAGAAAAUAUUUUCUUCAAAAGUGGAGGCCUCAAGCCACACAUCAUCUUCUUAUUUUGUUGUUGCUAACCGCACCAUGAAAAAUACAGUGAAGGUAGAAAACCCCAUAAAUUUUUUCAUUAAUUUUAAAUAAAAUAAUUUAAAAAUUUUUCCUAUACCAAGUAAAACAAUUUCCUCACCUAUAGCACAACCAAUUUCCUCUAGUAAAGGAUCCUCCUCAGAUGAUCCAACUUAUUUCAAAUAUGAUAGUGUUUUGCCGCUAAUCUAAAUUGAACCUGAAUAUUGGCACUCCAACCCGCAAGAGGUAGCUAAACAAAUACUUAGCCCUUCAGUAAAUUAUAUCUAAACAAUUCCUACCUAUACUCAGAAGUUUUAUGAAUUUCUCCUCAUAGAUACCAAGUCCUAUUUAUUCAAACCCCACAAACAUAAACAAAUCCAAUCUUAUGUUACUCAUACCACGGUUUGGAUUAACAGAAUAAUCUCACCCAAAAAAUGGGGUGAGCAUCCAGGAAAUAUCAGUAUCUUUUGAUCCCCAAUAUUAUAACUAUUUUGACUAUCACAGUGCGUGGAUAAAUACAUUCACCAUGCAAAAUAAAACUGGCAAACAUUCAUGGUUUUUCCUCUAGGGAAAGCAACUGGCUUCGGAAUUUCCCCAGUGGUUCCUGCACCAAUGGUGGCUAAUUAUGGUCACAACUUUGAGAUCCUCCCCCCCCCCCUCAGUUCGAGAAGGAUAUAAAUAUUUUAUACAGAGAUUUUUUUAUGAUCACCAAAUUCCUCUGCUUUUAUAAUUUUACCACAAGUUUCAUAUUUUGGGGAUAUUUUUUUCAAAAAUUUGCCUUCCACUAACCAAAGAGGCAAAAGGGAUAUCCAUGGUUAGCUCUCUAAGGCCAUUGUAAAUGGUACAAAAAUUAGGAUUCAACAAAGGCUUAUGUGCUGGACAUAGAAAAAUAUUUCUGACGUAAUCUUGGAUAUCUGGCUACAACAGAUGCUUUCUAAAUCUCAUUUUUACAAUGUAAAUCAUAUUAAGCCACACAAUUAGAAAGGUCGUGAAACCGAGAUUUUAUUAAACAAAUAAAAAAAAUUCUCCAACAAAUCAAAGUUGAAGUUCCCUGCAACCAACAUUCAUCAAAAAAAUCUAACACAGUUGAUGAAGAAGAAAUUCAAUCAAUUUUACAUCACCAAUUAGUCAUCAACAUUGAUGUCAUGCAUGACAUCAACAAUCAAUUGCUAAAAAAUUAUGGUGGGUGGUGUACUGUAGCUCACUGUAGCAAUAUUGUAGCAAUAAUUAGUGGUGUUACUAUAGCUCCACUGUAGUACUUUUACUGUAGCUUAUUUUUGGCUAUAAAUAGCCUACUUCACUUCUUGAGAAUGACACAUUAUUUUCUUUGGAAGAAAUCUCUCUCAAUAAAAAUCUUGGUUUGAGUUUGCUCUCUCUCUCUGUGUGUAAUUUUUAAAUCUACUUUUGAUAUUAAUAUCAAAGUUCAAUUUUCCUAAUUGUUCCUUUUUCAUUAAUUUAUUAUCUUAUCUUUUUAUUAUACUUAUCAUUUAUGGUUGGCACGGCCACCUAUUUUAUUUAAUUAAUUGCAUCAUUAGCAUAUGGUUGGCCCUACAGCCUAAAUUAUUUAUUGUAUUUUCCUUUAUAUACUUGCAUUAUCUACAUUUAAGUAUUCAUAACUUGCUUCCUUUCUUUUUUUAAUUUCCCCGUAUUUUACCCUCUAUAUCUUGGGGGGCUCACUUUGUACUUGGUAUCAGAGCCAAGGAGGAAGGUAAGGAUUAUUAUUCUUGUUAUUAACUUGCUAUUAUAUGGUAUUGUCAGAUCUAUAAUUUAAAUGGUAAAACUUGAAUCAAUCCAUUACACUUUAAAAAAUCUAUUUUAUUAAAGGUUCAUUUUGAAGAUAGUACUAUGUAGGUUGUUUACCUAAGCAUUAAUGGUUGGAUUGCCGAUGAAGACUUAGCGGACUUACAGAUGGUUAUUUAUAACCUUUGGACUAUCCGAUGGAAGAACCUUUUAGUUAAAAUUUAUCUAGCUAAUACAAAUAGAAUUGAGACAAAUUCAACUUAUUUACUUACCAGGUCUGACUCUCCCAUAUAAUAUUGAGUUAAAUACUUGAAUAUUUUUCUUUAUCGAACCCAUUGGUCUCUUGAUCCAAGGAUAGGAAGUAUUUAAGUUAUUAUUGUUGUUAUUCUUAAUCACUCUUUUACAAUUUUUUCUAUGGCAUCCCUCCAUUCCUUCUCUUUCCUUCUAAAAACUCCUUGUCUUCUUCAUCUAUUUUAAUUUCCUACAAUUCUCCUUAUUCAAAGCCCAAGGAAGAGAUUAGUUUCUCUGAUUUCAGCAAUCAAUUGAUGAUUAGCAAAUUCCAAGACAUUCUCAAGAUCAAAUUUAUAAAACUCCUUCUAGAUGACGGUCUCUAAUAAGUGAAUACCAUAUUUCAACUGUUGAACAAACCAUCCCUCUUGAAUCAGAUCAUGAGGAUAUCAAACUUCUCAAUCCUAGGACUAUAGAGAGAUGUAAUCAUAAGUACGAUUUCCUCCACUUUGGCUUAGUCCAAAUAAAAGCUAAACCUCUUUCCUAGGAAGAUUUAGAUACCUCUCUUAUCUUUUGUCUUAGAGACUCCAGGUUUCUAGACUUCAAUGAUUCCUUACUAGGAAUGGUUGAAACCAGCCUCUGUAAUAGUCCAAUUUAUUUUGACUGUUUUCCAAAUUUUACUGUAUCCUUAAAGGAUCUAAAUAUAUUAGAUUCUUUAAUGGUUAAGACUUCCAACUAUAAGACCAAAAAUGGGUCUCUCCCAAUAGCAAUUAUUUUUAGAGUCCAGUACAAGGCCAUAAAUACCGCCUUUACCUUCGGUGCUAUAAAAAAUAGUUAUAAAUGAGAAAUUUUCCUCUUCCAAACUGACCUUAAAAGGUCUCACUUGUCAGUUCCCAAGACAAUCAUAUGGGAUCAGGUAUCCUUACCUCAAAGUUGGAUGUUGUAAGAGGAAAAUCCAAUAGCAAAACCUGAGAAUACUAUAGUUUCUUAGAUCUGAUAAUUCUCCACUGGAGUUGUUUCUAUCUUCUUUAAGAGAUUUCUUAGCCAAAGGGUCUGUAGCUCCCCGUUAGUUCUUCCUGAGAUACAAAAGGAGAGGAAUUAUGUUUCCUCAUUUUCCUCUAGACUCGAGACUGUUAACUUGGAAUCUAGAAUUCCACUAUCCAAAUAUUCUGUGGAAACACCUCCUACUGAAAUCCAUGACGAUAAACCUCAAUCACCAACCUACUUGGCCUUAGGUGGAGAGCUAGGGGUUUUAAGUCAAGACUUUCACAUUGAUAAGGAAACACUUAAAAUAUAAUUUUAUUCAUAUAGAAAUAAUUUAAAACAAACUUGGUAUUUCAAUCACUUCAGAAAAGAUGAGAGAAAAACUAUCUAAGAAAUUUAUAAUGAAUUUUUAAAUUCUACCCAGAAAUGAAUUAAUUUCUUUAAAUGGUUUGUGGACUUUGUUGAGUAUCAUCAAUUAGAUUUUCCUUUUUCUAAAUCAAUUAAUGUUUUAAAAAUAUGAAAAACCAUACACGGUGCAGAUAUCAGUGCUAAACUUCCACCAUCACAAGGUUUUACUAUUUCUCAUGUUGAUAGCUUAGUCGUUGCUUCUCCUUUUAAGAGGAAAUUUAAAAAUGAACUUGUUACUAGCAAAGAUAUUAAAAAUCUUUUUGAACAAAAUAACUAUACAAAUAAGUAUAUUCAUGCUCUUGGUGAAUAUUUGAUUUCAAAACAAUCUCUAGAUCUUAAACCAUCAGAGGCGUCCACUUCGUCCUCUCCAUUAUUCAAGCCUUACGAGAUUCCUAAAACCUUUACUAGGGAACUUCAAAUGCAUAAUUCAAAAUCUUUUUCACGGCUCUCUGACCUUCAACAAAAGAUCAUACAAAUUGAGAAAUCUUUAAACCCGGUAAUCCCUGAUACCCCAAGUAUUGCCUCAUAUUCUAUAGUUGGGGUACUGCAAUUGAGCAAUUUAGAGAACAUCCGUCCGUAGAAAGAAUCUUCUCUUGAAAUAGCUCCUAUUAAAACUCAAUCUUCUAAUUGGCGUAAGCCACAAAAACUUUAUUCAAAGCUACCCAUCCGAACGUAGCAUUAGAGGAGAACCUAAUGUUAUGUAAAAUAAUUACAGCCCCAAUAAUAUCUAAUAAUAGAACAUAGACAGUUGUUCUAAGUAUAACAUUGAUGUUGGGUGUAUUUAUGCACUCUAGUGUUACUAUUCUAGCUUAUUUGGCCUAGUUUUAAGGAUAAUUCGGGUGCUUUAGGUGUGAUAAUGAUAUAAAUAAGUAUAUAAGUUUUAAAAGUAUGUGAUUACAAUGUUCAAAGUGUUUUCCAACAAGUUUGUACUUAAAAUGAGUAAUUCAGAGUUUAAUCGAGGAAACUAGCAUUGCUAGCUUGAGCUAGGUACUUGUCUAGUUGAUCCCAUUGGAUUCUAUUAUGUUUAAAGAUUAUUAAGGUUUAAGUGUUUAAUUAUGAGUAGAAUAACUUGUUGGUAAUGUUCAAAUCUCAAUUUCAUUAAGUUUAGAGGUGGAGCAAUAAGUUGAAAAUUAACAUAAACUUGCCUAGUCUUAGCUCUUGUUUUGAUUCAUCGUCAUGGAUAUUGUGUUGUGAUUGUAUCUAAUUAGUGGUGUGUUAUUAUGUGGAAAUCCUUCUAAGCUGAAUAUGAUGAUAUUUUGAUAUUGAAUAAGCUGGACAUUAAAGAGAAACAACACCAAAAGGCAUGGAUAAAUGGAGGAGCACUUAACACUUGGUCAAAAUUUUGGAAGCAACUUCCAGAGAUGGCAUGUAGAUAAGCCUGCGAUGCCCUAGCUGGAGUGUUUCUCUAUAGUAGGAUCAUCCCCAUCUAGAGUGGUGCUCUAUAUCAGUCUUAUCCCUCUCUGGAGCGGUGAAAUAGAGCAGGCGAUGCCCCCCCAUUCCACUACCCAAUUCUUGGUCGGUUCCUACUCCUACAUGGUAUUGGCAUACCCUUUUGAUAUAAAUACAUCAUUGCACAUGUUUUAAAUCAUCUUGGGACGUCUUAGAACAUCAAAGAGCUUCUACUACAUGUUUCUUUUAAGUUUUACAUUAUUUCUUUAGCUUUCUUUUAGAUUAUAUCAUGUAUUCAAUCUUUUGGAUCAUGAUUAUGACUAUAAGUGGUUAGAAACCUCCUUUCCAGGGUUAAAGCCAUGAACAUGAGUACUAUAGUUUUGACUUAAGUUCAUUUAAUUUUUUUAUCAUUAUUGGUUGUGUGUCUAUCUUUGAUGUAACUAUUUGAUAGAUUGAUCACCCAGAAAAUACAUCAGUUGUUACCCUUAUGAUCUCGGGAGGGGGAAUAGGAUGAUAGAACAUGGAGAUGAACAAAGUAUGAUUCGUAUUCUUUUAUUAAAUAUGGAAUUGAAUUAGUGUCUAGGAAAGGUAUUUACUAGAUGCCUUAUUUGAUUGAAAGAUAGUAUGAUAGCUUAAAGAACUUAAUUGGAUUAUUACAUCCCCGCUCAACGAUGUAGUUGUAAUGUCCAAAUUAGGUAAAAUAAUUAGAGGUCAGGAGACCAUAAUCAUGAAAUUAAUCCUAUGAGUCAAAAACCAAGAUAGCAAGUUAACGGUUCAAUAACAUAGUAUGAUUGUUCGAAGUACUUUAACCCUGGGAUUUACUCCAUUAGUUGUUUCAAGACUUUACUUUACGCACUGUUAUUUUACUUUCAGUUAAAAUUUUCAAACUUUCUUUUUUGUUACGCUUACAUCAAUUGAAUCUAAACUGUGAACUAGAAUUGAAUCUUUGUUGAAACAGGUCCCUGUAGGAUCAAUACUGGGAUUUAUUUAAGGUCACUUAACUACUAUUUUAUUUUUAGUUUUACUUUUAUAUUUCUUUAGUGUUUUUAACGCUUGGUCUUGGUUCUAUUUUUGCAAGAAACAGGUUUACAAAGUAGUAAGCUGGCAAUGGAUCAGGACUUGUUGAACCAUGCUCCGAACCUAAGCAACUUUUCCAUCAACGUAGGAGAGAAGCAAUUCUUCUCCUCCAAAUUCCGUAAAUCCAAGAAGGCUAAGAGAAUUAUGCCAUCAUGGAUGAUGUAUAAGAAUCCCACAGGAUAGUCAGACAAGUCGUAAUCCCACUUCCAACCAAUUUGACCUCCCCGUUUCAGAAGCUGACAGCUGGAGGCAAUUUUGAGCUUAAACAGAAUAUAGUACAACUUUUUAUUAGCAGUAGAUAGUUCAUAGGGAUUUCACAUGAAUAUCCACAGGUCUAUUUGUAAAAUUUCUGGAAACCAGUGACACAUUUAUUCCUACGAGUGUGAAUACAUACUAUGUGAGAAUGACGUUGUUCCCAUUUCCAUUGAUUGGGGAAGCAAAAAAGUGGUUGGAUAUGGAACUGGCAAAUUCAAUCACAUAAUGGGAUGACAUGGCUCGAAAAUUUCAUAUCUGAUUUUUCCCAUCUGGUAAGACUAUGAGACUUUGCAGUGAGAUAGUGUGCUUCAAAUAGAAGCCAGAUGAGAACCUUUAUCAUGCUUAGAAGAGGUUCAUGCUUAGAAGAGGUUCAAGGCUCUUCGACUGUCCACACCAUCAACAGUCCAAUGAGGUACUUGCUCAUACUUUUGUAGAGACUCUUGAUCAUAAUACAAAAAUACUACUACAUUCAACUGCAGGUGGUUAAGAUCUUAAGAUGACUUAUGACGAGUUGUACACCUUAUUGAACCAUAUCACACAAGGAAAUUAAAAGUGGCAUUUGAAAAAUAUGUUUCUCCCAUUUGAAAAAGCUCCCAUCAUAAAAGUUUUGUCCUUUUUGAAAAACAAAGAGUCUCAAAUCAAUUUCCUCAAGGAAGAAAUAACAUUUCUAAGGCUGCAACAACUGCUUCAAGAAUCUUUCUUUCAAUCUAAGGUCAAAGCCUCAGAAAUAAAGAUUGAAAGAGAACUUUGUGCUAAUUUACCCACAACAUUCUGGAAUCAUAAAAACACAUAGUCAGGCUUCUUUAAAAACCUGAAUUUGAUGAAAAAACUAUCCCUACCAAAGCCCGACCAUUUCAAAUGAAUCAUGAACUAACAAUCCAUUGCCAGAUGAAAGUCAAUGAUCUUCUUCAAAAACAGAUCAUCUCGCCAUGUAAAUCACCUUGGAGUUGUGCUAUUUUUUAUGUUAAUAAAAGUUUUGAAAUUGAACAAGGAGUCCUUCGUUUGGUCAUCAACUAUAGACCUCUAAAUACCGCCCUUCGAUGGAUUAGGUAUCCUAUUGAAAAAAAAUAUUUUCUCCAAUGACUUUAUGCUGCUACAAUCUUCUCAAAAUUUGAUCUAAAAUCAGAAUUUUGGCAAAUCCAAAUUGAUUGAAGAGAUCGAUAUAAAACCGCUUUUAUAGUACCAUUCAGGAAAUAUUUAUGGAACGUAAUGCCCUUUGGCUUAAAAAAUGCCCCUUUAGAAGUUCAUAAAAUAAUGAAUGCUAUUUUUAAUCCUUCUUAAAAAUUCACAAUAGUUUAUAUUGAUGAUUUCUUAGUAUUUUCCACUAGCAUUGACCAAUAUUUUAAACAUUUAAGAGUUUUCUUCAAUGUCAUCACGAAAAAUGGCUUACUUCUGUCCAAAACUAAUUAUAGUCUUUUCCAUGUCGAUAUUAGAUUUCUCGGGCACAAUAUCUAUCAGGGUAAUAUUACCUCGAUUCAACAGUCCAUACAAUUUGUUGAUAAAUUUCUUGAUCAGCUCCUUGAUAAAACUCAACUCCAAAGGUUUUUAGGACGUGUCAAUUAUAUAGCAGAUUAUAUCCCCAGACUUAACAAUUUGCUAAAACCACUCCAUGACAUAUUGAAAAAGUCUCCUCCUCCUUGGAAUAACAUCUAUACCAAUGUAGUCAAAGAAAUCAAAUUGAAGGCAAUAGACCUCCCUUGCCUGUCCUUCCUUGAUCCUCCUACAUUCAAAAUAGUUGAAACAGAUGCAUCAAACAUAGGUUAUGGUGGCAUUUUAAAACAAAAGAAAAAUGAUAAAGAUCAUAUAAUUGCAUUUGCAUCCAAGCAUUGGAAUAAAGCCCAACAAAACGAUCCAACUAUCAAAAAAAAAUUUUAGCGGUUAUGUUACGCAUAUCUAAAUUUCAAGUUAAUUUAUUAAACCAAAUUUUUUUACUAAGGAUAGAUUGUAGAGCUGCAAAACCUGUUUUAAAAAAAGAUGUACAAAAUCUAGCCUCUAAGCAUAUAUUUGCUAGGUGGCAAACUAUUUUAUCUAUUUUUAUUUUCAUAUUGAAUAUAUUAAAGAGAGAUCCAAAUCCAUACCGGACUUUAUUACUAGGGAAUUCCUGCAUGGAAGAUAAAAAUGGCUAGAAAAAAGAAAAUACUAUUCCACAAAUUCUGGCUUUUCCAUCCCUAGAAGAGACCACCCAAAAAGUUGUUACCCCACUGCAAAAAACUAUGGUUGAAUCCAAGCAACUUUCAAUAAUAACAAUUGAAGCAGAUCAGCUAAGAUAUAUAACCCCAGAUAAUUAUGCCAUGCAGGGAAUACCUUAAUCUCAUAUGAUGCAAGAAAUUCCAAAUCCAAUAUCAAUUUCUAAUCCAAGGAAAUGGGUUGAUUUACUUAAAGAAGGAGAAGAAGAGGCUCAGUUAGCCCAAAUAGUUUAUGUCCAAUGGACAAAAGAUGAUUUUAAA